UUAGUGCGCACAAUGUCAAAAUCACAGUCAUGUGAAGACCUAUGUCUUCACAAAAAAGCAAGUCAAUGGAAAAAAGCUAGCCUUUCACUCCAUAUCCAGAGUUUGAAGCCUUCUUAGCAGUGACGUCUAUUUAGUGCUCUUCAAAGUCUGUAACAGAGGGUACAGACAGAAAGAGAUGAGGCCUAACGUAAGUAUUGAAUUCCUCUGGUGGCUCUCUUUAACUAUCCUGCUGGUUUCUGUGAUCACAUCUACUUCUACAGCUGCCUUUCUUGAAAGCAACUCGAGCCCCAUUUUCAAUGCCACAAUCGGUGAAGGUAAUGAAGAGGAGUUCUCUAUGGAAUCUGAAGUGCAUCAGAGACUGCUGGCCUAUCCGGGUAAUCAUAUUAACUAUAAGACUUUAGAACGACAACAAGUUUGCAAUGCACAAAUGUAUGGCAGCUGUGUAAAACCGAUCAAUCGUGACUCUCGGCCUUGCACUUACUACAAUCGGUGCAAACGUGGUAGUUGAUCGAGGAAGAGGGGACAAAGGGGUCAGUUCUUUAUCUGUCUGCGUGGGUUUCGAUUUGAAUAGCCACCCAUAAAGCGCAAGGUGAACCAGUCCGUCUAUGUGAGCUCCACCAAGAUGGGUGGAUCAGUUUGCUCUUCGUGUAGGGUGACUGUCUGAAUCUUUCUUUUUUCUUUCUACUCAUGCUUCCGAUGAGUAUAACAAUAAAAUUUGAAUGUACUUUAUGAUGAUUUAUAAUUGAAGAAAAUAGCAAGCAAUUGCUUUGUCGAUACGAUGUCUAGUGAUUGUCUUUCUCGUGCACUAAUUAAUGGCGAAGCUUCCUCAUUAAUCUAUUGCAAGCUAUGAAGUUGAAAAACAGAUCUUGGAAUGUUCACAGGUUUGCUUAAGGUGUCCUGUUUGUACAAGAUAAGAACAUCUGCUAGACCUGUUCAUUGUAGAGGACUUGGAUUUUCCUUAGGAUUGAAGUAAUUUCAGCAUGAUAUUUUCAACAAUGAAACUCAAUUUCAUUUCAUUUAUUAUUCCAAUUAUUUUUCAUCCACCGAGAACUCCAUUCAGUUCCCCCUCAUGUAUGGAAAUCAAGCUUAACAGGAUGAUAGAGAACAAAUUGCCAUCUGCAGGGAAGAGAGGACAGCUUGCCUCUUCUUUACUAGUGCUAUUGAUUUCAUUCGGCACCAAGUAUGUCGAGAGGUAAAUCCAUUAUUCUUCGAUUAAUGGGAAGAAAGAUUUAUCAUUAACCAAGUUUUGUAAGCGAUUACUAUACCAGAUGAUAAGAUUUUUGGUUAUAAGCUCAGCCCAAAAAGGCACACUCAUGAACCAAAAAGGAAUAGGUCGAUCCUUUGAGCCUCCUAUUAGUUCCUGUGUAAAAUUAUAUAUAUAUAUAAAAACCAAAAACAAGAGCAUUUUAUCAGUAAGACAUCAUUGAAGAACAAUAAUAGAAAGGAGUAAAUGAGACCACGGAUCUGAGGCGAGUAAAAGAGCUACUCAUGAGGAACAAGAACGAUUUUUCUUAUUGAAGACUGAAGCAAGACCAACCUAUAAUGAAGAUGUGUGUGUAUUGGAAAGAAGACAUCGGUGAGGAUUAUACAGACCUUACACUUGCGACAAUCAUUGUAACAAGGCGGUGACCAUAAGGAAAAAGAAGCUUUGCACCUUUUGAAGCCUAAUCUCGGAGCUGUGAUUACUGCAUUUGUUAUGGUGAACACCAACCUGAAAUACAUUCAAACUCGUUAAGAAUAUUAAUCAAAUAAGAAAUUAAGUGGUGUGUGUGAUCUUAAUCCAACCAUUAACAUGUUAAGGAAAAAAGAAAAUCAAAAUAAGUUUCAUAGAAACCGAGUACUUUCAAGUCAAUACUAAUAUCAACAAAAUGGCAACUAGUGUGUUGAAAUUAGACUAUUCAUGGCGUCUUUAUUGCAGAAUUCAGAACCACACAAUGGAAAGCAGCCAUCCAAAGAUGACCAAGUACAGCGACCACUAUGUCCCACUAGCCAUAUCGUCGAAUUUUCUUCUCCGCCGGGCUUCAAAUAUAUUAUUGGAUUAUUCUCAACUUGAGCAAAUAUGCUACUGUAUGGAGACAAAAACACCAUUGAUCAUCUUCCCUUAAAUCAAAAUCUUUGCAUUUAAUGCAUAUGUUUUCUUACUCCAAUUUAUUCCACAAAAGAAAUAGCAUAAUGUUCAUCUCCAUCGCGCUCUACCUUCUCCCUCCCCUCCAUCUCUUCCUCUACGUUACUGCUACUACAGAUUACUUGCAGCGAUACAGUCCCACUGAUCUAAUACUCCUUAACUGUGGUGCAUCCUCUAAUUUGUCAUCUCCUGAUGGUCGUGGUUGGGAUGGUGAUUCCCAGUCUAAGUUUGCUGCCUCUAACCCCCCAGAAGCCUCAUCUGUGUUUGAAGCCUCCAAUCAAGACCCCUCUGUCAACCAAGUCCCAUACAUGACAGCCCGUAUUUUUCACUCUAAAUUCACUUACACAUUUCCAGUCUUGCCUGGCCCAAAAUUUUUGCGUCUCUACUUUUAUCCAGCUUCUUACUCAAAUCUUGAUAUAUCCACAUCCUAUUUCUCGCUUAGUGCCAAUAACUACGACCUACUAAACAACUUUAGUGCCUCUCUUACAGUUUCUGCUAUAAGACCUCCAGUUGACUACUUCACCAAAGAGUUCAUCAUGACCGUGUGGGACAACCAGAAGCUUGAAUUUGUAAAGAUAUCAACGGUCCUAAAGAUGCCAAGUGUCAGAAGAUUAGCAAUUAAUAUUGUUAGCAUUCUGUUAGUAGUGUUUGUUAGUAAAAGAGAAUUUGUUAGCAUUAUAUUGAGUGUAAAAGAAAGCAUAUUCUCCGUGCAGUAUCUUCCAAUACUGCAUGUAUAAAGUGAGAAAUAGUAAUGUAAACAGUUAAGCAAAAGCAAAUAAUAAAACAGUGCUAUAAUUUCGUCUUCUGCUUCUCUGUGCAUAACAGAUUCAUUCAUUCUCUGUUCUUCACUCUCUGCUUCUUUUCUUCAUUUCCAUUUCAUUUCUAUAUAAAUGUUACUGUCUUUCAUGGUAUCAGAGCUUCCACUCCUCCGCAAAUAACACAUCAAUCUUGGAAGGAUCCGUAGUUGCACUCAUCACAAACUCACACAAGUGUGCAAGGAUGUAUAUAGGAAUCGCAGAUUACACAUUUUCCAUCACACUUCUCACAAAGGCGUCCAAUAGCAAUUCCUGGUUGCUUCCAGCACAUAAUCAAAUCAGGAUGAUGCUUGGUCAUGAUCUCUUCAAGAUCUUAGUGUUCCUACGUGCACCUGCUGGAAUCGAUUUGAGACUCUGUUCCUUCUCUUUCAGCAGAGAGAGAGGGAAACCUGGAGAAACUUCUGCACUCUAUGAUUUUUUUAUUUAUUUAUUUAUUUUUUUUACUCUUGUUUCUGAUUCUGGCUUCUUUCUCAUCUUAUUCAUGAAAUUCUUCUAUGUUUGCUGUUGUGUCUAUUAUCUGUUUGAUAUAUUGUCAAACUGAAACUUCUUCUUCAAAUCUUCAACUUUCUGCAAGAUUCUUCCUUCUCAAUCUUUGAUUCUCUUCUUUUCUAUCUCUUGCACUCUAAAAAUACGACUACUUCUCACCUUCAGAUUGUUCAACUCUAAUAAGAGAAUAUACACAUAAACGUUUUCUUCUUCCCCUGCACUGCAGAAUUUCUCUCUGCUUCUCUUCAUCUCUAUUCUAAUAUACACAUAAACGUUUUCUUCUUCCUCUGCACUGCAGAAUUUCUCUCUACUUCUCCUCAUCUCUAUUCUCUGCUUUUCUUCUCUUCAUCUCUAUUCUCUGCUUUUCUUCAUCUCUAUUGCAGUAUCUCCCUCUAAUUCUAUUCACUUCUCUGUUCCUCUCUGUGACGUUUCUUGCUAGCUUUUCAAAAUAUCUCUGCUAUCUCCCUUGCUUCCAAUCCAGUGUUCCACAUCUCCAGAUUGAUUAUCAUUUUGUUAGGGAACGGGUUAUCACGGAUGAUUUCCUGGUCCAGCAUGUCUCCUCUACUGAUAUAUCCUCACCAAAGGUCUUUUCAUUUCUUUGUUUCAGCAUCAUUGCUCCAAUCUCAUGCUUGGCUCCUCCCAGCAUGCGCUUGAGGGGGCAUGUAAAGAUAUCAACGGUCCUAAUGAUGCCAAGUGUCAGAAGAUUAGCAAUUAAUAUUGUUAGCAUUCUGUUAGUAGUGUUUGUUAGUAAAAGAGAAUUUGUUAGCAUUAUAUUGAGUGUAAAAGAAAGCAUAUUCUCCGUGCAGUAUCUUCCAAUACUGCAUGUAUAAAGUGAGAAAUAGUAAUGUAAACAGUUAAGCAAAAGCAAAUAAUAAAACAGUGCUAUAAUUUCGUCUUCUGCUUCUCUGUGCAUAACAGAUUCAUUCAUUCUCUGUUCUUCACUCUCUGCUUCUUUUCUUCAUUUCCAUUUCAUUUCUAUAUAAAUGUUACUGUCUUUCAUGGUAUCAGAGCUUCCACUCCUCCGCAAAUAACACAUCAAUCUUGGAAGGAUCCGUAGUUGCACUCAUCACAAACUCACACAAGUGUGCAAGGAUGUAUAUAGGAAUCGCAGAUUACACAUUUUCCAUCACACUUCUCACAAAGGCGUCCAAUAGCAAUUCCUGGUUGCUUCCAGCACAUAAUCAAAUCAGGAUGAUGCUUGGUCAUGAUCUCUUCAAGAUCUUAGUGUUCCUACGUGCACCUGUUGGAAUCGAUUUGAGACUCUGUUCCUUCUCUUUCAGCAGAGAGAGAGGGAAACCUGGAGAAACUUCUGCACUCUAUGAUUUUUUUAUUUAUUUUUUUUUUUUUUUACUCUUGUUUCUGAUUCUGGCUUCUUUCUCAUCUUAUUCAUGAAAUUCUUCUAUGUUUGCUGUUGUGUCUAUUAUCUGUUUGAUAUAUUGUCAAACUGAAACUUCUUCUUCAAAUCUUCAACUUUCUGCAAGAUUCUUCCUUCUCAAUCUUUGAUUCUCUUCUUUUCUAUCUCUUGCACUCUAAAAAUACGACUACUUCUCACCUUCAGAUUGUUCAACUCUAAUAAGAGAAUAUACACAUAAACGUUUUCUUCUUCCCCUGCACUGCAGAAUUUCUCUCUGCUUCUCUUCAUCUCUAUUCUAAUAUACACAUAAACGUUUUCUUCUUCCUCUGCACUGCAGAAUUUCUCUCUACUUCUCCUCAUCUCUAUUCUCUGCUUUUCUUCUCUUCAUCUCUAUUCUCUGCUUUUCUUCAUCUCUAUUGCAGUAUCUCCCUCUAAUUCUAUUCACUUCUCUGUUCCUCUCUGUGACGUUUCUUGCUAGCUUUUCAAAAUAUCUCUGCUAUCUCCCUUGCUUCCAAUCCAGUGUUCCACAUCUCCAGAUUGAUUAUCAUUUUGUUAGGGAACGGGUUAUCACGGAUGAUUUCCUGGUCCAGCAUGUCUCCUCUACUGAUAUAUCCUCACCAAAGGUCUUUUCAUUUCUUUGUUUCAGCAUCAUUGCUCCAAUCUCAUGCUUGGCUCCUCCCAGCAUGCGCUUGAGGGGGCAUGUAAAGAUAUCAACGGUCCUAAUGAUGCCAAGUGUCAGAAGAUUAGCAAUUAAUAUUGUUAGCAUUCUGUUAGUAGUGUUUGUUAGUAAAAGAGAAUUUGUUAGCAUUAUAUUGAGUGUAAAAGAAAGCAUAUUCUCCGUGCAGUAUCUUCCAAUACUGCAUAUAUAAAGUGAGAAAUAGUAAUGUAAACAGUUAAGCAAAAGCAAAUAAUAAAACAGUGCUAUAAUUUCGUCUUCUGCUUCUCUGUGCAUAACAGAUUCAUUCAUUCUCUGUUCUUCACUCUCUGCUUCUUUUCUUCAUUUCCAUUUCAUUUCUAUAUAAAUGUUACUGUCUUUCAUGGUAUCAGAGCUUCCACUCCUCCGCAAAUAACACAUCAAUCUUGGAAGGAUCCGUAGUUGCACUCAUCACAAACUCACACAAGUGUGCAAGGAUGUAUAUAGGAAUCGCAGAUUACACAUUUUCCAUCACACUUCUCACAAAGGCGUCCAAUAGCAAUUCCUGGUUGCUUCCAGCACAUAAUCAAAUCAGGAUGAUGCUUGGUCAUGAUCUCUUCAAGAUCUUAGUGUUCCUACGUGCACCUGCUGGAAUCGAUUUGAGACUCUGUUCCUUCUCUUUCAGCAGAGAGAGAGGGAAACCUGGAGAAACUUCUGCACUCUAUGAUUUUUUUAUUUAUUUAUUUAUUUUUUUUACUCUUGUUUCUGAUUCUGGCUUCUUUCUCAUCUUAUUCAUGAAAUUCUUCUAUGUUUGCUGUUGUGUCUAUUAUCUGUUUGAUAUAUUGUCAAACUGAAACUUCUUCUUCAAAUCUUCAACUUUCUGCAAGAUUCUUCCUUCUCAAUCUUUGAUUCUCUUCUUUUCUAUCUCUUGCACUCUAAAAAUACGACUACUUCUCACCUUCAGAUUGUUCAACUCUAAUAAGAGAAUAUACACAUAAACGUUUUCUUCUUCCCCUGCACUGCAGAAUUUCUCUCUGCUUCUCUUCAUCUCUAUUCUAAUAUACACAUAAACGUUUUCUUCUUCCUCUGCACUGCAGAAUUUCUCUCUACUUCUCCUCAUCUCUAUUCUCUGCUUUUCUUCUCUUCAUCUCUAUUCUCUGCUUUUCUUCAUCUCUAUUGCAGUAUCUCCCUCUAAUUCUAUUCACUUCUCUGUUCCUCUCUGUGACGUUUCUUGCUAGCUUUUCAAAAUAUCUCUGCUAUCUCCCUUGCUUCCAAUCCAGUGUUCCACAUCUCCAGAUUGAUUAUCAUUUUGUUAGGGAACGGGUUAUCACGGAUGAUUUCCUGGUCCAGCAUGUCUCCUCUACUGAUAUAUCCUCACCAAAGGUCUUUUCAUUUCUUUGUUUCAGCAUCAUUGCUCCAAUCUCAUGCUUGGCUCCUCCCAGCAUGCGCUUGAGGGGGCAUGUAAAGAUAUCAACGGUCAUAAUGAUGCCAAGUGUCAGAAGAUUAGCAAUUAAUAUUGUUAGCAUUCUGUUAGUAGUGUUUGUUAGUAAAAGAGAAUUUGUUAGCAUUAUAUUGAGUGUAAAAGAAAGCAUAUUCUCCGUGCAGUAUCUUCCAAUACUGCAUGUAUAAAGUGAGAAAUAGUAAUGUAAACAGUUAAGCAAAAGCAAAUAAUAAAACAGUGCUAUAAUUUCGUCUUCUGCUUCUCUGUGCAUAACAGAUUCAUUCAUUCUCUGUUCUUCACUCUCUGCUUCUUUUCUUCAUUUCCAUUUCAUUUCUAUAUAAAUGUUACUGUCUUUCAUGGUAUCAGAGCUUCCACUCCUCCGCAAAUAACACAUCAAUCUUGGAAGGAUCCGUAGUUGCACUCAUCACAAACUCACACAAGUGUGCAAGGAUGUAUAUAGGAAUCGCAGAUUACACAUUUUCCAUCACACUUCUCACAAAGGCGUCCAAUAGCAAUUCCUGGUUGCUUCCAGCACAUAAUCAAAUCAGGAUGAUGCUUGGUCAUGAUCUCUUCAAGAUCUUAGUGUUCCUACGUGCACCUGCUGGAAUCGAUUUGAGACUCUGUUCCUUCUCUUUCAGCAGAGAGAGAGGGAAACCUGGAGAAACUUCUGCACUCUAUGAUUUUUUUAUUUAUUUAUUUUUUUUUUUUACUCUUGUUUCUGAUUCUGGCUUCUUUCUCAUCUUAUUCAUGAAAUUCUUCUAUGUUUGCUGUUGUGUCUAUUAUCUGUUUGAUAUAUUGUCAAACUGAAACUUCUUCUUCAAAUCUUCAACUUUCUGCAAGAUUCUUCCUUCUCAAUCUUUGAUUCUCUUCUUUUCUAUCUCUUGCACUCUAAAAAUACGACUACUUCUCACCUUCAGAUUGUUCAACUCUAAUAAGAGAAUAUACACAUAAACGUUUUCUUCUUCCCCUGCACUGCAGAAUUUCUCUCUGCUUCUCUUCAUCUCUAUUCUAAUAUACACAUAAACGUUUUCUUCUUCCUCUGCACUGCAGAAUUUCUCUCUACUUCUCCUCAUCUCUAUUCUCUGCUUUUCUUCUCUUCAUCUCUAUUCUCUGCUUUUCUUCAUCUCUAUUGCAGUAUCUCCCUCUAAUUCUAUUCACUUCUCUGUUCCUCUCUGUGACGUUUCUUGCUAGCUUUUCAAAAUAUCUCUGCUAUCUCCCUUGCUUCCAAUCCAGUGUUCCACAUCUCCAGAUUGAUUAUCAUUUUGUUAGGGAACGGGUUAUCACGGAUGAUUUCCUAGUCCAGCAUGUCUCCUCUACUGAUAUAUCCUCACCAAAGGUCUUUUCAUUUCUUUGUUUCAGCAUCAUUGCUCCAAUCUCAUGCUUGGCUCCUCCCAGCAUGCGCUUGAGGGGGCAUGUAAAGAUAUCAACGGUCCUAAUGAUGCCAAGUGUCAGAAGAUUAGCAAUUAAUAUUGUUAGCAUUCUGUUAGUAGUGUUUGUUAGUAAAAGAGAAUUUGUUAGCAUUAUAUUGAGUGUAAAAGAAAGCAUAUUCUCCGUGCAGUAUCUUCCAAUACUGCAUAUAUAAAGUGAGAAAUAGUAAUGUAAACAGUUAAGCAAAAGCAAAUAAUAAAACAGUGCUAUAAUUUCGUCUUCUGCUUCUCUGUGCAUAAUAGAUUCAUUCAUUCUCUGUUCUUCACUCUCUGCUUCUUUUCUUCAUUUCCAUUUCAUUUCUAUAUAAAUGUUACUGUCUUUCAGAAUUAACCUUCAUUCCGUCUCCAGCAUCUUUUGCCUUCAUUAAUGGUAUCGAAAUCGUUUCCAUGCCAGACAGCUUCUAUGCUCGUGGCGAUGAUAAUCCACUGACCUAUGUGGGCUCCGAUGUCUUCUUCUAUCUGUAUAACACAACUGCGCUUGAGACAGUCUAUCGACUGAAUGUUGGGGGGCAAGAUAUCAGCAGCACAGGAGAUACGGGCAUGUACAGGACAUGGCAUCAAGAUUCAGAGUAUCUCUUUAGACAAUCUGGAAACACUCCAUAUCUCCCAGGCGUUAAGAUAAAGUACACAACCAAAACGCCAGCUUACUCCGCACCUGUUAUGGUAUAUAGUACUAUGCGUUCAAUGGGUCGUGAACCACGUGUUAACAUGAAUUACAAUCUCACAUGGAUCAUCCCAGUUGAUGCUGGUUUCCAUUAUCUCCUUAGACUCCACUUUUGUGAGUUUCGAAUGGAGUUCAAAAGUGUAAAUCAACAGGUAUUUUUAAUAUUCAUCAACAAUCAAACAGCAGAGUAUGAUGCAGAUGUGAUCCAUAUGAGCGGUGGAAACGGUAUUCCAGUUUACAAAGACUACAUCGUGCUGGUCCCUCAAGGGAGCCAGAGCAAGCAGGACUUGUGGCUCGAACUACUCCCUAACAUGGAACUGAAACCUACUUAUGCUGAUGCAAUCUUGAAUGGCUUGGAAAUAUUCAAGCUGAAUACAAACAGAUGAAAAUCUUGCAGGAUUCAACCCUGAUCCAACAGUGGCUCCUCCACCAGCAGAACAACAUCCAAGUCUACAAGAGAGAAGAACGGGCAAAAGAUCAUCAAUACUUAUGGUUAUAGGCAUCGUUGGAGGUUCCAUAGGUGCAGUAUUUGCUUUAUCUCUUAUUCUUUAUUUCUUCGCUUUCAAGCAGAAGCGAGUCAAGGACCCUAGCAAGAGUGAGGAAAAAUCCUCCUGGACUAUAAUAUCACAAACAUCUAGGUCCACGACUACAAUCUCUUCAUCACUACCUACUGAUCUUUGCCGACGGUUUACAUUUGUUGAAAUCAAAGAAGCAACAAGAAACUUUGAUGAUCAAAAUAUUAUUGGUUCAGGGGGAUUUGGCACUGUGUAUAAAGGAUACAUUGAAUACGGUUUCAUCGCUGUAGCCAUCAAACGACUAGAUUCAUCAUCAAAGCAAGGGACACGUGAGUUCCAGACAGAGAUUGAGAUGUUAUCCAAUCUUCGCCACCUCCAUCUAGUGUCACUGAUUGGAUACUGUGAUGAUCAUGGCGAGAUGAUCCUUGUAUACGAUUACAUGUCAAGAGGCACUCUUAGAGAACAUCUAUACAAAACAAAGAGCUCUCCUCUUCCAUGGAAGCAAAGGCUAGAAAUAUGCAUCGGUGCUGCAAAAGGGUUGCAUUAUCUUCAUUCAGGAGCAAAGCACACAAUCAUUCACCGUGAUGUGAAGUCAACAAACAUAUUGUUAGAUGAGAAUUGGGUGGCUAAGGUUUCAGAUUUUGGGCUGUCCAGAUUGGGUCCCACUAGUACAUCCCAAACGCAUGUUAGCACUGUAGUUAGAGGUAGCAUUGGAUAUGUGGAUCCAGAGUACUACCGUAGGCAACACCUAACGGAGAAAUCUGAUGUUUAUUCAUUCGGUGUGGUUUUGUUUGAGGUGCUAUGUGCAAGGCCACCAGUGAUUCCAAGUUCACCGAAAGAUCAAGCAAGCUUAGCUGAGUGGGCACGAAAAUGUUACCAAAGAGGAACCCUUGAUGAGAUCGUGGAUCCACAUUUAAAGGGCGAGGUUGCCCCUGUCUCUUUAAAUAAGUUUGCAGAGAUUGCUAACAGUUGCUUACAUGGUCAAGGAAUUGAACGCCCUAAAAUGGGUGAUGUCGUUUGGGGCCUUGAAUUUGCGUUGCAGCUUCAACAAUCUGCUGAGAAAAAUGCCAAAAGUGUAGACGGGAUCAAUAUGGAAAAUAAAAGCUCAUUUUCACCACAUCGAGAUGUCAUGACCACUGAUGACGAUGACAUGUUUAGUGGAGCGGAGUCACAUUCAAGGAGCACAGUUAGCACUCGUGAAAGUGUCACCCAAAGUGAUCCAGAUCAAAGAGCAAGGGGUGUGUUUUCUGAAAUAAUUGACCCAAAGGCAAGAUGAGAUUGAAAUCAUUUCUCAAUGUGGGCUGCUUAAAAUAUAUGAUUCGCAGCUUGCUAGCAUUAGAUCAUGUCUAUAUAUAUAAAUAGUAGCUUCAAUUUGUUAUAAGUGGAACUGGUGCCACUGUAGAAUCCUGAGCUUGUGUUUUGCAUAUAUCCAUUAUAUUGUUGUAGCUUGAUGUUAUGCAAACUUAAGGUUAGCAUGCGGUCAGUCCCAAGCAACUGAUGGUGUAGAAACACAUUAAUUCAGACUAUUAAGGGUUUGCAUUGCUCAUAGAUAUUGAUAUUCCUCAAUUGAAUUUUCUGUGAAAAUUCAGUAUUCCAAACACAUACAGUGCCCCCAGAUAAACUUUCAGAAUACAAUGCCUGACAGCUCCAAUUAGCAUUACCCAGAUUGGAUUUAUCAACUUAUCAUUCAUAGUCUCCACUGAACACAAAUUUAACAUGAUGUAUUCUAAUUAGAUUUUGAGCUGCUCUACGCUAUUCUCAUGCAUUAGAUUACUAUUCCUAGUAUUCCAAACAAACACUUACAGAUUGAUUAUUACAUAACCAGAAAAUAGAAAGAUCAAGUAAUAGUUAUUGCUCAUUCCAAUAUGUUUUUCAUUCCAUUCUAUCAUCUUACAGCAUCCCAUGAUGGGGUCGUGUUCUCUCGUACAGUUUCAGGUUUUCCUACACCAUCCUCAAUAUUUCCGAAACUCAUUUGAGUAUCCUUCAGAUUUUGACAAUUGAUAUUGUCUGCCUUUCUCAGCUUUGUAGUGUUUUUCUUUUCUUUUUUUCAGGAAAUAUAGACUUUUUAUUAUAAUCAUGUCUUAAGGGUACUUUCUUUGUAAACUACCUUAGACGAAGUCUAUAAUAUUCGAUUGGAUACUUUCAACGACUUUUUAUUAUAAUCAUGUCUUAUGGGUACUUUCUUUGUAAACUACCUUAGACGAAGUCUAUAAUAUUUGAAUUGGAUACUGCCAACGACUUGAAAGUCUUGCAUGAGCUGAAUUGCAAUAGCAUCACUACUAAAAAAAGGGCAUUACCAUCUGAAUUUAGCGACGGAUAAUUCCGUUGCUAAAUUCAAUAACAGAUUUGCAACAGAUUACAUAUAUAUAUUUUUUUAAUAUUAGCAACGGACUUUAACAACGGAUAAUCCGUUGCAAAAUUUACAUUGAAUUUAGCAAUGGAUUUUCCGUUGCUAAUUGAAAAAAAAAUUUAAAAUGUUAAUAUAAAACUAAAAUUAUGUAGAUCGUUGAUUACAUAAAAUUUGAACCGUUUAUUUUCACAUUCCCCCCCCCACACCGAAAUACAGAUCCAACAAAACCAAUUACGCUGAAAAUUAAUUUACUUCCACUCUUCCAAUAUCCUUCUUCGUCCCUAAAAACAUCGAUUCCUAACUGUUCAAAAAUCACCCUCUCUUCAUCGAUUUCAUCUUCCUUUACCCGAAACUGUUCAUCAUCUUCACAUUCGUCUUCAGCAACCCUAUUUUUUCUUCAUCUUCUUCUCCUUCAUCUUAACAGUUUCAAUAUUUCUCUGCAAACCAACAAAAAUAGAGACCCAUGGCAACAUCGCACCAGACCCAUCAUCAUCACCAUCGAACAUCCUGUUUUACCCCUUCUCUGUAAACGGGUUAGGUUUUGCACUGUUUUCUUCGAUAGCUCAGGUAAUUAAUUUAUGGUUUUUGUUUUCUUUGUUGCAAUUUAAGUUACACUAAACAGUUCUAACCUAACUUUCCCAAUCUCAGGUGUUAUUCUGUCAUGUUGAUCCAUCGCCCUCACCUGUAACUGAAGAACACAGGUAAGAAUUUUUUUUCCCGAUACUUUGAAUAAUGGUUUUAGGCUAUUAAUUCGAUAAUAUAAGGUUUAUGAAAUGUUUUUACCAUGAUUUAUAUCCUAAUUAUGCACGUUUAAGUGAAAAUUUAUGAAAACCUCCAAAUUAAUUUUUAGGGUUACGGUUCAUAAAUUGAAUGCUUUUAUUCAACCUGACCAAUGCUGGCAAUUCUUGUGUCUGGAAGAGAGAUUGAUGGAAAUUAUGCAUGUUUAAUUGAAAAUUUAUCAAAACCCCCAAUUUAAUUUUUAACAAUUAGUAUUAUUGAUGUUGGGUGUUCUUUGAUGUCUGCAAGUCUUUUUGUCCUCCUGUGCGCAGACACCUAGGUGUUUUGAAUGUAUUCAUAUGCUUAUAUAUAUAUAUAUAUAUAUAUAUAUAUAUAUAUAUAUAAGGAAACUUGCUUGUUGAUGUUGUGUUUCGUUAAUAAGAUUGCUGUUUUAUUUUUGUUUCUUCAUUCAUUAUUUUUUUUUCUUGCUGUUUUACUUGUUAUAUAUAUAAGUAGCAGAAUUGUGUAGUGAAAGAGGUUAGAAUUCAUGGUUGCCUCCUCCUUGCAUGGUGAUCAGUUAAUUUCCCACAUUAGCUAUAUAUGUUGUCUGUUUUCAUUUGAUUGUCCUGUCUUGAGGUCAGCAUACAUGAUUUGGAAACGUUAUUGAUCACCAAAUGGUUUAGGUGGCAGGCUUUUAAUAUGAUAGUCACAUUGAGAAUUUAAAAAAGUUAGAGAAACAAUGUAAGAAAUGGGACAUGAUUUUUUAGUACAUGAAAUAUAGUAAUUUCACUAUUUAAUUUCAUUUAUUUUUUUUAAUAUUCCUUCUCUGUUUUUAAAAAUUUCCUUAAUUUAACUAUUUUUUUAUUUUAUUUUUUUCAACUCAAAAGCAUUCUAGAUAUAAUAGGGAGUUUGGAACUGGCUAUAUGACUCAUCUAUAUGUAUGCUUCAGCUAUUGAAUUUUGGAUAAAAAUCUGUAAUAUUUACUCAUUUUGUUACAGUACCUAAUGCUUGCUUUGUUUUUUUUAAUUUCUGGGUCCUGACAUGACUUUGUUCAAUAUGAUGGCUUAGGUUUUUAAGCGUGGCAUCAAGUUAUCUUCCUCAAUAAUUAAUUAGCCUUUGGGUUCUUCUUGGCACGAAAGCGGUGUGUUGCAUUCUUACUAUUAUUUAAUAUGGUCUCCUUAAUGCUUUGUCCUUUUGAGGUCUUGUGCUCUUAUACUACAUGUCAUUUACAUGGAAUAUCAUUUAAUGUAUCCAGCUUCCUUUGUUCAUGCAAUUUUUCUACAUGUCAUUUACUGUUUUUAUACAAACUGUUACCAUUUUCUGCAUCUGCUACCAUUGUUAAUUAGAGUUAAUUAUAAUUUAGUCUAUGCAUUUUUUAUGAUUUUAUAAGUUAGUCAUUAUGUUUUUGAAAACCAUAAGUUAGUUCCUUUUUAUAAAUUAAAUGCUAGUUAUUUUAAAAUUUCAAAUUGAAUCAUGUUUAAGAUUGAAAUUUUUCAGGUUAGAUCUUAGAAGAAAAAAAUUGUUAUGAGAAGACAAGUGCCAAAAAAAUAUUAAAAAUUAAUAGUUUAACUUGGAUAUCCUUUCUGUUUUUCAUAGUUUAACUUGGAUUUGUUUUAAAAGACUAGCAAGUGUUAUAACUGGAUGGGUUUGUUAUGCACAAUUCCUUUACCUAAGAUGUACACUAGUAGAUUUAUCAAUGAAUGUCUACUGGAAUUUUGUUUGUUGAAGCUUAUUUUAGAGUUAUUUGUUAUGACAUUCCAUUUCUGCAACUGACCUCAUGUGUCAGUUAUUAACUAAGAGGUGGACUUGUGUAUUGUAGCUUCUUGGCAGGAGCAGUGGAUUUCAAGUAGCAUCCACUCAUCGGCCAUGUACAAAAGAAACUGCCACAUUAGAGAACUGCCCUUGAAGGAACUCAGUACAAUCUCUUACUGUUAGACAGUGAAGGAAUAGAUGCCUAUGAUCAAAUAGUAAGCGCAUUUACCUUAUCAAGAUGAACUGAUGAUUGUUGUGCUGGUUUUAUGUUUUAACAGUUCAAGAAUUGAUGAAAUGACUAGUAAUAAAUUUUAUUAAUUGAAGAAUUUAUUUUCUGUGAUUCCUUCUUAUUUAUAAUUUACACCAUAUCCUUUUUAUAUUCCCACACAACUGCUGUUUUGGAUUAUGCAGUAAUUGUUGUUUUGGAUUAUCCUCUAUCUAUUUAAUAAGCUUACUGAAUACAUAUACUAGAAUAGUGUUAUGAAUCUACCAAGCAGCUUAGCACAUUAAUUACAUGAUAUAAUUGCAUUUAGAUAUUGAAAUCCUAGGCUAACAAUGGCAAGUCUCGGUGUGGACAUUCUAGAAAGGAAGCUAUCUGUCAGGAUUUUCCUUCUCGAAAUUAAAAAUAUUUGUCUUGGAAGUCAGUAGUUUAUACUAAGGAUAUUUACAAUAAGCUGUGGGGGGGAACAUUACAAGAGUAAAUAUCAGAGCAAUAAUUAAAAAAAAUAAAAGAGUAUUACAAGAGUGGUUAAUUACAAUGAUUAAAACUAAUUAAAAGUGAAAAGUUACAGAAUAUAUAGCUAACAGAUUAUACAAGUGAGGUGAAGCAGUUUGCCAAGCAUCUAGGUUAUAUAUUAUUCUUGCUUCUGAAAGAAAAAGUAGGAGUUUGAAUGCUUGUGAUGGAAGAAAUAAGACCAAACAAGAUUAUUGAUUUAUCGAUGCACAUGCAAUAAUUAAUAGCACCAGUCUCUUUUGCUUUAUUUGUUGAGCCAUCAAAGGACACUAGCUGUUAGUUUCUUGUUAUUAAAUUAAAUGAAAUUUUUCAGGUUAGAUCUUAAAUGAAAAAAUAUUUGUUAUGAGAAGACAAGUGCCAAAAAAAUAUUAAAAUUUCAUACUUUAACUUGGAUAUGCUUUCUGCUUUUCAUAGUUUAACUUGGAUUUAUAUUUAAACAUGUAAAUUAACUAUUAGUCUCUUGGAUGAGGAUUUGUUUUUGUAUUAAAGAGUUCUACAACUCUUUUGGCUUUUUUUAUAGUUACUAUGUUGCAUGAACUAAGUAGCAAAUUGUUUGGAGCCAACUUGUGUAAUUGCAGAAACAAUCGCAUGUUUUUUAGCAGGUUUGUCUGUAAUGAUACAUGUAAAAUGCACCAGCAAACUGUGUGAAUGAAGCAAACUGAUGGUGAAAAUCUUUGCUUGCUUAGCCAUUAUCAGUGGAUAUAGGAUCAGUUAACAAACUACAGGCAAUCGCAUGGGCUUGUUAGAAUUAUUUAUGGAAAAGGCUAGGGUCAAGUGUUGUGAGGUCACUGGACUUGACCCUUUAAAUUGUGAAAUUGGAAAUAUUAGACAGAAUCUUUUGCUAUUUUCGGUUCACAAGGUCAUGAUCUUGUUUGGAAUGAAUAUAAAAGAUGGGAGCUUGAUGUUUACACUGUGAAGUCAGUUCUAACAAAGCACUAAUUAGUAUAGAUCCAUUUCCAAUCACACAAAGGAUAAAGGAUUAGAGAGCAAAGCACUAAUUUGUUUUAAAGACUAGCAAUUGUUAUAACUUGAUGGGUGUAACAUACUGUUUAUGUUUUUUAUUUUUCCAGCAAUAUGAAUGGCUUAUUGGAUCACAAUAUAAUCCAAUAGAGUUGGCUAAAUCUGAUUGGGUUGCAAUAAGAAAAACUCCACCUUGUGCCAUUGAUUCUUGGGGCUUAGGUAAGUCUAUUUUGCUCCAUUUUUACAUGGUUGCUUAAUUAUAUCGUGCGUAAUUUUUCUGUUGGGCAUGCCUAUUGUAAUCUUUUCAAGUAGUUGGAACUUUGCCUUUCAUUGGGACAAUAUUGACAGUUUGUAUAAGAAAACUAAUGGAAUGAUUUUCUUUCAUUAAAUCUGAUAUUGAGUACAAUUCUGCUACUUAUAAACACGAUUACACAUUUAGGUGUGUAGUAAAUAACAAUACUAGAGAUUACAAUGAUGGAAAAGUUGAUUCCUUUUACUAUAUGCACAACGUAAUUGAUAAAAUAAGAAAAAAGAAACCCCAUCAAUAAAAACAACUUGAAAUCUGUUGAAUUUAAUAUUGAAUUCUGUUGAUCGGAUUUUGAGGGAGAGAUGGGAGAAAUGGGUGAGAGAUAUUGAUGUUUGAAAGAAAUGUUUACAUUGUUAUUCAACACUUUGGAAAAUGCAAAACCACUUUUAGGAGUUUUAUGGAAAAGUAAGUAUUCUUUAAAUUCGGUGAUUGCGAUUAUAAUUACGCGUGGAAAACAUGUAUACUCACGCAAAUUAAAUAAUGUCGUGUGAUUUUUAAUUGAAAUUAUAUUAAAAUAAAUUUUUAUAAUUUUUUUAACAUUGUUAUAUUAAAAUUAUUUAAAAAUAUAAAAAUAUUAAUUUGAUAUUUUUUAAAAAAAUAUGUCAUAAUACAAAAACAAAUCCUCAUCCAAGAGACUAAUAGUUAAUUUACAUGUUUAACUAUAAACUUUGAUUACACAACAAAAUAUAAAUAAUAAGUAUUUCAUAGAAAGAGGUUUAACAUAAAUAUAUUCACACCUCCAUUACCUUAACCAUAAAUAUUAACAAUAAUUAUUGCUUGUCCGUGUAGAACUUGUAAUCAACUAAAUUGGAUUGUGCCUAAAGAAUUUAUAAAACAAAUGUAUUUAUAUUUUCAUCCACCAGUAUUAUAAUUAUUAUUUAAUUAUUAUUUCACUACGACAUAAAAGAUAGAUAGAAUGUAUAUGAUAAGAGAAAAAGAUACAAAUGUGAGUAACUAUUGUAACCCAUAAUAAAUUAUGUUUUUUUUUUAUAUUGCAUUUUCAUCUUUUUAAAAAAAUAAAAAAAUUCUUUAAUCUUGUAUUACCUCGCAUGUUUCUGAUUUCAUUUACCAUUUCUUAGUUGAGCAAAAAAAUAUCUGUAUAAAAAUAAAAAGUUUGAUGGAUCCAAUAAAAAUAAAAGGAUCCAAAUAAAAAAAAAACUACUUUAGGUGGUAACAAAAGUUAGAAGGACCAAUAAAAAAAAUGAACUCCAAAACUAUUAUAAAGAUAAAUUUAUUUAAUAUUUGUUCAACUAAAUAUUUUUUUCUUUAUCCAUUUAUUCUGUAUAAAAUACUAACAGAACAUAAUCUAAAAGUCUACUUUUGUCACUAGUUAGAAAAUAUAAAUGAAAAUAUAAAAUACUAACCGAACAUAUUUUAUUUUAACAGAUUGUUUAAGUACUAGUAGUUAAAGAAGUAUGCUUAUUUCAAAAAAUGCUUAUUGGUGUUGUCAUGUUAAUUAGAUUAACAUGGAUGAUCGAUCGUGGAUGUAUCGUCGUCUUAUGGAUGGUCGCCUUCGUCCUGAAUACAUUACCGGUGUUAGAAGAUUUAUCAAUUUUGCAUUUUCAAUUGAUAAAAAUAUAUCUGGGGGAAAAAUUAGAUGUCCUUGUGUGAGGUGCAAAAAUCAAAAGUUUUUAAAGGAAGAUGAUGUUUGUAAACAUCUAUUGACAAAAGGUUUUUUACCUUGUUAUGAAAAUUGGACUGUACAUGGGGAGCCUUAUAUCGCAUAACCAAUAUUGGCUGGACCUUCAUCGAUUGGAAUGAGUCAUGUUGUGAAUGAUGUUUGUCUAGAGAAUCCAUAUAGGAAUCUGGUUAUGGAUGCAAUGGGGGUUGGUGAUGCAUUCUACAAUGAUAAUGUGUCUAGUCCUGUGGUAGCAGGGGAAAUUCCAAAUCCGGAGGCAACUAAAUUUUUUAAGCUUUUGAAAGCUACGGAGGAGCCGUUGUGGGAUGGGUGUACCAAGCAAUCCAGAUUAUCUGCUUGUGUACAAUUGCUUAAUAUGAAGUCAACUUUAAAUUUGACUCAGAAUGCCUUCAACAAUUUUAUUGACUUUACAAAAAGUUGCAUGCCUAAUGAUGAAAAUUUGGUUUCAAAUUUUUAUGAUGCCAAGAAAUUUAUGCGGCCACUUGGACUUGGUUAUGAGAAAUAUGAUGUGUGUCCUAAUUACUGUAUGCUGUACUAUAGGGCAGAUGCAAUGAAAAUAAAUUGUGAUUUUUGUGGAAGUUCACGAUACAAACAUAGAAAUCCAACUAGUAAAGGUUCCAAUAAGGCGGAGAAGCAACUCCGAUACUUUCCCUUGACACCAAGGCUUCAGAGACUGUUCAUGUCUGCAUAUCAUGCCAAAGAUAUGACAUGUCAUCAUUUUCAUAAUUCUGAUAAUGAGGUUAUGGUGCAUCCAUCUGAUGGGGAGGCAUGGAAGGAGUUUAAUCGUGUCCAUUUAAGCUUUGCAUCAGAUCUGAGAAAUAUUCGGUUAGGGUUGUGCACUGAUGAGUUUUGUCCAUUUGACAUGUCUUCAAAUACAUACUCUUGUUGGCCAGUAAUUGUGACUGUUUAUAAUUUGCCUCCGUGGAAGUGCAUGACUAGCCCAUUCAUGUUUUUGACAAUGAUGAUUCCUGGGCCAAAGAAUCCGGGUAAAAAGCUUGAUGUUUUCCUAAGACCUUUGAUUGAUGAGUUAAAGAAUUUGUGGUCUGUUGGUGUUGAAACAUAUGAUGUAUACAGAAAGGAAAAUUUUCAAUUAAGGGCAGCUUUAAUGUGGACCAUUAGUGACUUUCCAGCAUAUGGCAUGUUAUCGGGGUGGAGUACUCAUGGAAAUCUAUCAUGUCCUUAUUGUAUGGAGCAUAGCAAGGCUUUUAGAUUAAAAAAUGGAGGGAAAACUACAUUUUUUGAUUGUCAUCGACGAUUCCUACCCAUGAACCACCCAUAUAGAUUUCAAUCUGAUAAGUUUUUGAAAGGAGUAAUUGAAAGGCUCCCUCCUUUACCUCGUCCAUCUGGUUUGGAAAUGUUAAACGAAGUGUUCAAGUAUACCGAGGGACAUAAUGGAGGUUCAUCAUAUAAUGAUAAAAUUCUUGGCUUUGGUGUUAAGCACAAUUGGGUGAAGAAGAGCAUUUUCUGGGAGCUUCCAUAUUGGCAUACAAAUUUGAUUCGUCAUAAUCUUGAUGUCAUGCAUAUUGAGAAAAAUGUUUUUGACAAUAUUUUUUAUACAAUAAUGGAUUGUCCGAAUAGAAGCAAGGACAAUUUAAAGGCUAGGUUGGAUAUUCAAUUGUAUUGUCAGAAGCCAAAUUUACAUUUGCAACAAGAUAUGAGUGGUCGGGUUUACAAACCUAAAUGCACUUAUUGUCUACACAAGAAACAACAACAAGAAGUUUUGUCAUGGAUGAAGGAAUUAUCAUUUCCUGAUGGUUAUGCUUCAAGCAUUUCAUGAUGUGUGAAAGAGGCACAAUGUAAGGUUUCAGGGAUGAAGAGCCAUGAUUGUCAUGUCUUCAUUCAAAGACUUCUUCCAACCGCUUUCCGACCUUACUUACCUAGGCCACUGUAGGAGGCAUUAACUGAACUAUCCGUAUUUUUUCGAGAUAUUUGUUCAACAAAUUUAAAUGCCCAGCACAUGGAGUUAAUGCAGAUGAAUAUAAUUGAAAUAAUUUGCAAACUUGAAAGGAUUUUUCCUCCAUCCUUCUUUGACUCCAUGGAACACUUGACGAUACAUCUACCUUACGAGGCAAAAGUUGGUGGACCAGUUCAAUAUCGAUGGAUGUAUCCAUUUGAACGGUAUGUUUUCAUACUAUGUUAAUUUUAUUCACUUUUUAUUUUUUAAAAAUAAAAUAAUUGACAGAAAAGAUAUAGGUAUAUGUUUUAUUUGAAGAAGAAAGUGACCAAUAAAGCUAAAGUUGAGGGUUCCAUAUGUGAAGCAUACUUGAUUGAUGAAAUUACCAAUUUUGCAUCUCAUUAUUUUGGUGAUGACGUGCAAACAAUUUGGAAUCGAGUUCUACGGAAUGAUGAUGGUGGCCUUAGAAGUGUAGAUGGAUGUCUCUCUAUUUUUUCCUAUCCAGGAAAAAAAUUAUCCAAAAGAUUUUAUAAAAGGCAGUUGUCACAUGCUAAAAUGCAAAUUGCGCAUAACUAUAUGAUAUUCAAUUGUCAAGAACUGAAGCCUUAUUUAGAGUAAGUUUGAAAUAUUAUUUUGUACUAAAUUUAUAAUAAUUUAUUAUUAACUUUAACAUUUUAAAAUUUUAGGCAAUGUCGACAAGAGCUAAAGUCACAACAACCACAUGCGAGUGAUGGUGAAAUUGAAAAAUUAUGUGAAGCGAUCUUUCCAAAUUGGUUAAAAAAUAAUGUAAGUAUUUUAAUAAAAUUAAUUUAUAUUUUAUGUCAAUUAGCUACUUUAAAAAUAUUAUUAAUCUCUUUUAAAUCAUUAUUUCUUAUGGAGUUAACUAUUAUGCUAGGUGGAAUACCAAUCUAACAGAAUUGAAUAUCAGCUCUUUGGACUUGCUAUGGGCCCUUCAACUUCAGUGAAAUGUUAUAAUGGGUAUUAUGUGAAUGGUUUUAAAUUUCAUACUCAACGUUAUGGCCGUUUUAAAAAGACAAUGAAUAGUGGAGUUUGUGUGAAAGGAAGUUGCUAUGAUGAUAAUGAACGUGAUUAUUAUGGAAUGCUUAAAGAAGUUGUUCGGCUAAAAUACUUGGGGAGUAAGUGCAAGUUAUUUAUGUUUAAAUGUAAUUGGUAUGAUACAAAACGAGGGAUUAGAGUGCAUCCUUUGAAUGGUUUGGUUGAAAUCAAGCAUACAUCUCGACUACACGGAAAUGAAGAUUUUGUGUUAGCACAACAAUGUCAACAAGUCUACUAUACAUAUCCACCUGGUAAUAAAUCAUCUGAAUGGUGGACGGUUAUUAAGACAACUGCUAGAAGUCGUUAUAAUGUUGACAUGGGUGAAUUUAUUGAAGAUGCCAACAAUGUGAGAUCAUUUGAUGUUGAUCAAUCAGAUGAGAUUUCUCAACCAUCUCUUGUCCUUCCUACUCAAACACUUGAUGAUCCAAAUAUACUUGUUGAAUCAUCUUAUUAUGAAGAAAUCGGGCAACAUGAAUUGAUUCAACUUGACAUAAAUUGGGGAAACAAAGAUGAUGAAGAUGAAGAAGAUGAUGAUGGUGAUGGUGAUGGUGAUGGUGAUGAAGAAGAAGAAGAUGAUGAUGAUGAGGAUGAUUGUUAUGGUGGUGAUGGUUAGGAGUGAUGAUAAUAAUGAGUAGCACAAGUUAAUUAUAUGUCGUAGUAUAUGUAAUGAAUUAUCUUUAUUAUAUGUAUGGAUGAUUUCAUAUUAUUUGACAAUAUUUAGGCUUUCAAUGUUUUUUUUUAUUAUUAUUUUAUUCAAGUGUGUGUUAUGCAUCACAUUACAUAAAUUAUUUUCAUUGACCUUUGAAACCAUUUCUAACCUUUCAAGUAUCAAUCUUUAAAUUGUGAUUCUGAUGUUAUAUUUUAUUUUGUGAUUCGUUUUCUUGCUUAUAGAUGCUGAAGCGUGAAAGAAAGGGUUCUUCCUACUCAAUGUUUUGAUUUAUAGGACCAAACAUUAAGGUAAGCAUACUCAUAAAUUUUAAUUUCUACUUAAUUAAUUAUUUAGAUUUUUAUUUUUAUUAUUGUUUGUGCUAAUUGGCUUUUGACAAUUUAAACUUCAUGGCUGAUUUUUGUCAUUGCAAGGAAUGCUUAAUGAAAUUGUCUUGAUGUUAUUUACAUAUUUGGUUUUGUUACAGUAAUUAUUUUAUUUGAAGUAUAAUAUUUUUCGGGGUGUUGGCUAUUAUUGUUAUGUUGUAUAUAUUCAUAUGAUAAUGUAUAUAUUUUUUCUGGUUUUUAGCAUGCCUCGACGAGGAUCCAUAUUAGAUUCUAGGAGUGACAGGUCCACAUCAAGGAGUGACAGGUCCACUUCAUCCAAAUCAUUUCAAACUACAUCAAGGCAUAAUAACAAAGGAUCCACAUUUCAUCAACCUGUGUAUCAGAACGCAAAUGAGUAUUAUAUACCUACUUUGGGGAGUACACAUCCUCCUCAACAUGAUUAUGGGAGGGUUGAUGCAUAUCAAUAUUGUGAGGGCUUUCGUUUUCAAGAUUUGCUUCAAACUCAAGGAGGUUUCUCUCGAGAUAACCAACUUGUUUAUGGAGGACAUAAUUUAUAUGGGAGUCAUGGGAGAGUUGAUGGUGAUGAUGAUGAUGUGAACAUUAGAGAUGAAGAUGAGGGAGAUGGUAGUAAUGAGAGAGGUGUAUGUGAUGAGGAUCAAGAUGGUGUUCCAUCAUAUCACGAUUCAACAUCUUCUCCAUACAAUUAUGAUCAAAGUGUUAAAAGGAAGGGUUUUGACACGCAAAUAGAUCCAAUAACAAGAAAAAAAUAGCUUUGUUUGUAUGGAACAACAGAGUAAGUUCAAACUUUUAAUAACUAACUUAUUAAGGUUAUAUUUUCAAGUAUGAAAAAAAGUACUUACUAUUGUGUAAUUAUUUGUUUAAUAUAAGUUUGUUAUUAUAUAUUUUCAGGUUCAAUAACGCAUCGUGUGGACGUGCAAUCAGAGAUAUUUUGAGGUCCAAUUUUAAGGGAGCAUGGCACUCUUGGGAAAAAGUAGAUUCAAUGUGCAUGGAUGAACUCUUUAAAGAGUUUAAGGUAAGAACCAACACUAAUUGUCAUAAUAUUCUUUUCAAUUUUGAUCACUUUAAUGUAGCAUUAUGAAAAUUAUCAACUGAAUAGCUAUGACUGAUUUGUGUUAUAAUUUGUUCUUAUUUCUUGUUUACUCUUUAAUAUCAUUUAAUUUCUUUAGUUAUUAUAUCAUCUUGCAAAUUCUGAACAAGAUAACACAAUAUGAUUAAUUAUUUAUAUAAUUUGAAAUUUUGUGCACUCUUUUUACUUGGUAUAUAUAUUAUUUGGUAGAAAAAAUAUUCCUUUCUUGAGGAAGAUGAGUCAAUUGUUCGUAAUAUUUGGGAAGAUAAGGCUAGGAUAGCUUUGAAUCAACAAUUGACACGAGCUCGCAAGAAAGCCAUGUCAAAAGAAAACACUACAAAUAUUAUAGAUUGCCUUGAUAAAGGUCCUGCCUGGAUAAACAAUGAUGACUGGAAUCAAAUGAUCAAAGAUGUUUGGUCCACCCCUGAAUUUCAAAGGAGGUCUGAAUCUGCUAGGAGGAAUCGAUUAACCAAAACAGAUGGCAAAAUAAGCACUCAUUCUGGAGGAAUAGUGUCAUUUGCAUCAUAUCGAGCUAACAUGGUAAGGAUUUUUUUUUUAUGCUUAAGAUAAUAAAUUAAAAUUUGUAUAUUUGUCUUUUAUAAUAUUUAUUAAUCUUGAAAGCAAGAGGAAGCUGGUGGAAAAGAACCUCCAUGGGAUGAUAUCUUUUCAGCUUUGCAUCAAAGUACUAAGCAGUCUGGUAGCUUCGUCGACAACAAUUCUAAAAAAGUGGUUGAAUGUAUUUUUAUUUGAUUAUUUCUUAAUAUAACUUAAGUAUUAUUUAACAUUCAAAUUAAUUUAUUGUUGUAUGUAUUUUAUUUGUAGGAAAAUUAUAAAAUGGAGAUGAUUUCAAAGUAUGGAACUGAUCGGGAAAAUCAUCCUUCAUUUGAUGGAGCAACUUGAUGUGUGGCUUCAGGAGGAGUUACAAAGGAUAGGGUAUAUGGUGCACCUCGUAUGCCAAAAUCAAAAGUUAGUACAAGUUCUUCAUCACAUUCCUACUCGGUGGAGUCAUCAUAUCCCAGUUCAUCGUAUCGAGCAUUGCAAAAGGAGAUAAAUGAUAAAGAAGAGGAGAUAAAGAAAAAAGAUGAUUUUAUUCUUGAAAUGAAACGGCAGAUGGAUUCCAUGAAAGAAUAUCUUGUGAACAAUCUUGGAUACCAUGGUGGGACAUCAAAUAUUGAUCAAGGUAUGCCACCACCUUUGACUCCAUCAAUACCGCCACCUAUGGCUCCUCAGAUAAUGACACCUAUGGGUCCCACAUCUCAACCAAUUUUUCGACCUACACCUCGGCCUUUAUAUCCUGAUCAAUCUUGUGUCGAUCCACAAUAUCAUGGUUCGUCUUCGCAACCAGCACCAUGAUUGUAUCUUUUGUUGUUUUUUUUUUUGUGUAUUUGAACUUAAAUGUAUUAAUGCAAGUUUAACUAAAUUUUUAUAAUAUGAAUAUUAUUUUUAUUCUAUUUUUUAUUAAUGAUAUAAUUAUUUUUAAUAUUAAUUUAUGUUGGUUAUAUAUAUUCUACAACUUUUAAAAUAUCCAUAAAUAAUUAAAUAAAUAAAUUAAAAGUCAUUUUAAUAAAUAAAUAAAAUUAAUUUAAUAAAAAAUAAUAUAAUCACCAACAGAUUCUCCGUUGGUGAUUGUAAGUGAUGCAUGAAUCAGCAAUGGAGAAUCCGCUGCUGAUUCACAAAACUAGCAACGAAUUUAUCCGUUGCUAAAAUGAGCAACGGAGAAUCCGUUGCGAGUUUUGCAACGGAGAAUCCGUUGCGAGUUUUCCAACGGAAAAUUCGUUGCUUACAGUUAGCAACGGAUUAUCCGUUGCUAACUGUAUGCAACGAAUUUUCCGUUGCUGCGAAAUCAACAACGGAUAAAUCUGUUGCUAAAAAAUCUGCAACGACAAAUCUGCAUCCGAUUUUUGCCGUUGCUGAUUCCGUUGCUAAAUUGUUUUAGCGACGGAUUUUAAUGUUAUUUGCAACGGAGUAGUCCAUUGCUAAUUACUAUAUUUUUUAGUAGUGUCAGCUUUCACCUCAUUAAUUCUAAAAUUUUUCUUAAACACACAUCCUUCACGGUAUGCUUCAUCACCUCAUCUAAUUUUGCAUUUAAAUCUUUUCCUUUCCCGUAAUUUUCAUCAUCCUCAUCAAAUUCUAGUCCACAAAGGAACUAGAAUUAUAAAAAAUUUUAGUUUCAAUGUCAUAUUCAUCCCAAUCAAAAAGUUAUUUUCUCUGCUUAUGUCUUUGAAACAAGUUCUCAAAAUUAACCAUAGAUCCAUGAUCACUCUUCUCAAGAUAUCCUAGGCUCCUUACCUCCGUCAACUAAUGGGUUAAUAUUGCAAUUUGUUUUUGCAUGUCUUAUAUCAUCUGAACAUCUUUUUUUAAUUUUGCAAUUUGUCUUUGUAUGUCUUCUAUCACCAUCUUUUGUACGUCUCUUUCUCAAGAAGAACCUUUUAUCCCCUCCUACAGGAGCAUGUCUUAUUCUACUACCUCUUCUAGUCGUGGUUAUUCUAGCGCAUAGUAAGCAAAUAAACACUGAUAUCAUUAGACUCUAAUAUCAACUAAUAAACAGAAACACAAACAAAAAAACAAUAAGCUAUGAAGACAUAACCUCUGGUAUCGUUGAAGCCAAAUAAAAUUGUCACACAAAACCCUAAUUUAUAAUUUUAUUACUUAAUAUUUUAUGUUCAUGUAGUCUUCCUCACUAAGAGGUUUAUAACUCCUUAAAUAAAAAAAAACUAACCUAAACAAACUAGAAACCUAAAAAUAAAAAAAAAGUUAUAAAAAUUCUAAAUAAACUAAGAAAAAUAAAAAUAUUAUACAUAAAACUUAACUUCUUACACUAAAUAGAAAAAAAAUAAAAAACAAUUCUUAAAAAAUCCUCCUUGUAGAAGCUAUUCAUUGCUUAGUGUCAGAUAUUGCGAAAGGGGUUAAAUUUCAUUAAAAGUUAGUUUUGUAUUUGAAGGUUUAAAUCGGUUUAGUGUUUCAAGAUGUGUUGUUGGGUUAGGAAUGGAAAAUAAGGAACUUAUAUACAAAAUAUAUUCUUAAGCUAUCACUUCAGACUUUUUAAAUUGAUAACAGAAUCUGAUGGAUACAAAUAAAAUGGACUAAAAAAUCCCCCAAAUAGACCCAAAGAAAUCCUCUGAAAGAGAAAAAAAGCUCAAAAAACACCCAAGAAACUUGAGCUCAGGCAUGAUAGCCCGAGCCCACGCACCAAGAACAUGGGCUCGAGCAAGUAGCCCGAGCCCAUGCUCCUUGCAUGGGUGUAUGGAUGCGCAGUGCAUGGGCACUAUGCAGUGCAUUGGGCGUCUGCCCGGUGCAUGUACGCUCAGUACACCCCAAUGCGUGUACACCCAUGCAGGGCGUACAACAAAAUGGUGAUGGGCAUGCACCUUAUAGCCCUCGUGGGCACAAGUUGUCAUGCCCGAGCUCAGUAUGUUUGGGUUCAGGUAGCGUUCUCGAAUCCACUUUCACCUCUAAUGGGCUCGGGCACCUUAUCUGAGCCCAACACUUGCCAGAGAAUUUUUCUCGAACCCCACUUGGAUCUCUCGAUAUUUUAUAUUGAUCAAAUACAUAUUAUUUUAAGUAGAAUACAACUCAAAAUAUUACAAUGUUGAAAUUACACUUCAGCCCCUCCUAUCCACAAAAGGAUAAGAUUCAUGAGCUAUAAAUACACUAUAAAUCCUUCAAGUCAAAGGUUCACAAUCUCUUCAUUCUCUACUGCGUAUAUAUUUUCAGAGUAUCUCUCUCUAAAAUAUUAUUGCACUUUCUCUCUCUAUAAAGUUACUGGCUUUAUUGUCGGAGAAUCCCACGUCCAUCAAAGGGGACUUUUUGCAGGUACCAGCUACCGGUUACCUGGCUUACUAGACAUCACCUGCUACCAGUUACUAAUCCUCUGGGUUUUUCAUAUCAAGUCACCAGAUAUAUUAACUAUGAAAAAUGGAUCAGAUUGCUUGAACUAAAAGAUCAACCAAUUAUCUAGCACAACAACCUUAUUCUUAAGCAUGUUGGAUUUUAGAACUCAUGAGAAUCCAUCAUUACUUGCAAGCACAUGGAUCCAAUAUAGACUUUCUCGACCACUAUGUGUCUCCCUAAACUUAAUAAUCGAUGCUCCAUUAUCUAUAUAUACAUGGAAGGGCCUCUAUCAUUGAUAACUUGUCUAUGCAAUUUACUUGUGCUUUAUGUUAUUUUUUAUCACUUCAAUAUUUUAGUACUUACUAGUUAUAUGAUCCAUGAUCCACCGCGAGUCAGAUAUUUUUAUUUUCUAUAAAAGCAUUGUAUAUGUAGGUUUUUUCAAUGCAUUUUUGUAAUUCAAAAAAUUAAAGUGUAGAUCAAAAAGUUUGUGCAUACAUGUAAUCAAUUAAACCGAGAACUAUGUGUGCUAAUAAAUAAAUAAAAAGUCAUUACGAUACCUAAAAAUAAAACUUGAAAAAUCAAGAGACAGAUACAAAUCAAGAUAUUUAAUCUCGCAAGACGGGACAUUUACAUAAUUAUGUUUGCUAAAUUUUGUUUAUUAUAAUGUUUUUUUAUUCAAUUAAACGACAAUAGAAAUAGACAAACACAUUAAAUUAAUUGAAAAAAAAAAUAUUAUGCAAGGCUACACAUAUUAAAAAUAUUAAUUGAAAAUAAAUAUUUUUUAUUUUCAAAAAUGUAGUUCAUAUAUAUAAAAGAUAAAAAAAAAUUAUAAAUGAAUUAGAAAAACCUCUUCAAAAAUUAAAAACAUAACCAAAAAAUAAUCAUCAUUUAAAAGAGACUCUAAACAAAAUAAAAAAGAGGUAUUAAUCUAAAUAUAAAUGAUUUUUUUUAUUUUACAAAAAAAAAAUAAAAAAGAAGCAUUAAUUGAAAAAUAGGGGAAAAAAGGUCAAGUGUUGUUGGGCCUGGCCCAUUUCAUUAGGGCUCGCUUGAUUGAGCUCUUUUUUUUUGUUGCACUUGGAACGGAUGACAUGUCGUCCACCUCUAUCUUUUAAAAAACAAAUUUAGACGACACGACGCCUGUUUAGAUAGACAACGCGUCGUCUGAUCUUGCCUAGAUUCCAACCAUUGUGGUGGUCAGAAAAUCAGGACCAAAGUUUUUUUACCCAAAAACUCAUUUUGACCCAAAACACCUAUAAAAAAAACCUUAAAAACCAUGAUAAAUGAACCUUAAAAACCUAUUCAUAACCUUCAAAAAACCAAAAAACCCUUCAAAAACAUAAAUGAACCUAAAAACAAAAAUCAACCUGAGAUCAUAUUUGCUUUUUCACGAACUUUAAAAGUAAGAAAAGCAACUAAUAUGAACUCUCCUAGUUAAAAAGAACUAUUUGACAUAAAUAUCAUCCGUUUUAGUGGUCUAAAUCAGUGUCAACGACAUGAUUCUCUCUCUACUGCUGAAAUCCAGCGACCUCUCUCUCCUCUCUCAACCAGGGACUAAAAAAUAACAAGAAUAAACUUUCAUACCAAAAUUAAAUUGAAAAAUAUUGAGGUAUCGAAAUUGUAUAAUCUUUAUUUUUUUUAAAUUCGAGGACCAAAGUGCAUCAUUUUCAAAACUUAAGGCAUGCCACCAUAUUUGACGCCUUUUUCAUUUAGAUCCCUCUUCUUUCAAUCACUCUUUCAUAAGAAAUCAAAAUCAAUUGGUUUUUAAUUAGAACUAAAUUGCCAAAAAAAAUAGUUUAAGAACCAAAUUGAAAAACAAAAAAUUUUGCAGUCCAUCCACAAUAAUGUGUGAGAGAAUGAAUAGUAUGAAAAACUCAUACUUUUUAGUUUUAUACUUAGGCCUUGUUUGGAAACGUAGUUCAAACUGCGUUCCACCAAAUUUUUAAAAAAAAUUGCUUAAAAUUAUUUGUUUUUUAUGUUUUUAGAUCGUUUUGAUAUACUAAUGUCAAAAAUAAUUUUUAAAAAAUAAAAAAUAUAUAUUAUUUUCAUACAUUUCUAAACGAAAAGCACUUUAAACCACAACCACUACCACAUUUUCAAACACACCUAAUUAGUUUGUUUCACUUCAAUGAAACAAGAGAAAGAAGAAAUGUGCAGAUCGUUUCAAUCUUUCGAACCCAAAACGUGAGAACAUUUCCAAGCAUGAAUCCCAAAUCUCAUUAUCCACUUAUGUUCAUUGCUCCCUGAAAUAAGACGAAUAUAUCAAUAUGGAUGAUAUGCAUUACCUUCUGACAUUAAGUACAAAAAUCACACCGCGAUUCAUCAGAAUCCCAGCACAAGAACUGUUUUUCAGCAACAGAAUCCUAGCACAAGAACUGUUUUGCUGCAACAGAGUCCAACAUCACCAUCUAAUUAUCCAAGCUGGAAGCACUGUAACAAUUAUGCAAGCAGAUGCACGGCAUGCGAACUGCUGCAAAAAACACCUUCAGUAAACAAAAGCAUCUUUGGCUAGCUUUCACUCCGAGGAAGCCUGAUGUAUAAUGCCUUCACCAUUAAGAGCAAUUUUCAGUAGUUGCUUUUUCUCAUUGCUGAUAUUGCAGUAAUGAGUGCUUAAAUCACCAAAACCAAAAUAACCACCAUUUUGAACAACCUGCAACUUUUGCAUGUAACUAGAGAACCAUGUAUUGGAAAUGAGUUCCAAAGAGUAAUCAAACCUUAUUAUUGAAAAGAGAUUUCAUUCAGGUAUACAACUGUUUCUGCCAAAGCACGUAACUCUGUGGUCUUCCAGAUACUACACUAAAAUUUCUCGAGUUCAAAAUGGAAAAAUCACAAUAUAAUUGCAACGGAUAAAAUAUUUUGCUACAAGAAUACACUAGCUAUGCAAGAUGAAAAAUGGAUAUACCAGUGGAGCAUCUAACUGACUCAUUUACCUAACCUUGAGUUCCUAGGGAGAGUAAAAGAAUCGGUGCUUAGAAUCUCAGGCGGACUAAAAAGUCUUUAAAAUUCUGUAACCAAUCCAGAUUCAAUAGGAGGUUCGCUCCUCAGUGGCGGUAAUGCCAAAGACUAGACCAACAAUAUUGUAUCAGGGUUGGGAAUACAAGAAAAGUUUCUUCUGCAUGUGUAAAAAUGCCAACUCCAAAGAUAACUUGAUCAAGCCACCUUCAGAACCAAAUCUCUACCACUGAUCAAUAGCAGGUUCACAUCUAUUCAUCCUUUGCACACAACCGCUCUGAAUGGAGAAAAGAAAGGAAUUCUCAAACUUAGCAUAUUGCAGACAUACAAAUAGAUAGCAAUUGCUUGAAAAACAUCUUGCACAGAAAAACAAAUGCAAUCAACAAGCAAAAUAAUAAUACCAGCAAGAACAAACAGAGUCCAGCAGACAUGUGGUCUGAUAGUAGGUCCUAUAUAAGACUAACUGAAAAAAUUUAUAUAAUCAAAGCCUUGAAAAAUGAACUAUGGUCAUUACCAUUGAAGUUUCAAAAACAGGAGAGGCCUCGGUCAAAUAUCACUAAAUUGUUGGCUGACCAUCCAAGUACCUUAUAGGGAGCUCUCAGCCAAUAAAAACCUCAAUCCCUAAAAAAGUAUCUCAAAAUUAUGCUAUAAUAACUGUGUACUCUGAUAUUCCCUUACUUUAAACGACACAGGUGUCACCAUAGAUGAACAAAGAACUUUGUGACUUCAAUAAAUAAGGAAAAACAUGAGGAAGGCCGGAUGUUAACUAUAUAAAUUAAUACUUCCUCAAGCCCAUAAUAAGUGUACUUUGGACAUCACAGAAUUUUAUUUUAUUUUUUAAAAUUACAAAAAAUUCAUUCAUAGCCAGUCAUUACAUACAUGAUUUUAACUGAUCUAAGCAUUAUGUAGCCCACAGGCCAUGCUACAAGUAAAAAACUAUUCAAGCGGAAUGCUUUUCUGUAUUGAUUAAGUUCAAUAUAUAUACAAGAUACAUUAGGGUUCCCUUAUACAUCAGAGACUAAUAAGGAAUGACAGCUAAUUGAAUGCAGAUUGAUAUAAAAUAUUCUUACGUAUCUUUCCUACUUAUCUCAAGAUAUAACUUUCCUAUUUACAUCAAAACACUAUUAAUAUAAUUUCCAACACUCCCCCUCAAGUUGGAGAGUGAAUAUCAAUAACUCCCAACUUGCACAUGAGCUAUUUGAACUUCUCUUUUCCCAAAGCUUUUGUAAACACAUCUGCUAAUUAUUGUGAAGAAAUCACGUAUCGAGUAGCAAUUUCACCUCAUAAAAUUUUGUCCCGAAUGAAGUGGCAAUCCAUUUCAAUAUGCCGAGUUCUCUCAUGAAACACAAGAUUUUUUGCAAUGUGUAAGGCAGCUUGAUUAUCACAAUGAAGAGUAACAAGAUCUGAAACUGGCAUAUGUAAAUAUGUUAAUAAAUGUCUUAACCAAGUAAGCUCCCAACAUGUACCUGCCAUUGCUCUAUAUUCAGCUUCCGCACUUGAUAAGGAAACUGUCCUUUGCCUUUUUGUUCUCCAUGAAAUUAAAGAUUUUCCAAGGAAUACACAAUACCCAGUGGUGGAGCGGCGAGUGACAGGACAACCCGCCCAAUCAGAGUCACAAAAUGCCGUUAAGUGUAAUGAGUUAUUUGAAUGAAGAAGCAAACCUUGACCAGGAGCUGAUUUUAAAUAACGAACAACUCGAAGAGCAGCAGCCAUGUGAGGUUGUCGUGGUUCAUGCAUGAAUCGGCUGAGAAUGUGAACUGAAUAUGUGAUAUCAGGUCUAGUGAUGGUUAAGUAAAUUAAUCGACCAACUAGACGCUGGUAUAUACAAGGAUCUUUGAGCAAUUCUCUUGUAUUUGAAAGUCUGCAUUCUUCCAUAGGAAACUCAACUAGUUUGGCACCCAAGUAUCCACUGUCUUUGAUAAUUUCCAAAGCAUAUUUGCGCUGGGAAAUGUAAAUGCCUUUCUUGGAACGGGCUAUUUCAAUGCCUAAGAAGAAUUUCAGAUCACCAAGGUCUUUGAUGCGGAAACGAGUAUGAAGGAACUGCUUUAAACCUUUGAUGGAUUCAAUGUUGUUCCCGGUUAUCAAAAUGUCAUCCACAUAGAUCAAUAGGAUAGUAAGAGAUGUGCUGUCUCUUUUGAUGAACAAGGAAUAGUCGGCUUUUGACUGAAAAAAACCAGCAACAAGAACAGCUUCUGUGAACUUAGAGAACCACUGUCGAGACGCUUGCUUAAGGCCGUAUAGUGACUUGUGGAGGCGACACACAAUGUUCUCCCCUUGUCACCGAAGACCAGGAGGAGGGGACAUAUAUAUUUCUUCCAAUAAAUCACCAUUUAAGAAAGCAUUGUUAACGUCUAGCUGAUGUAAAGGCCAGUUUAGACUGGUAGCAAUAGCAAGGAGGCAGCGGACAGUGACCAUUUUUGCAGUGGGGGAAAAAGUAUCAUGAAAAUCAAUUCCAGCAGUUUGUGUGAAACCCCGAGCGACCAGGCGAGCUUUAUAGCGCUCAACAGACCCGUCAGCCUUGCGGUUGAUGCGAUACACCCAUUUACAACUGAUCGGGCGUUUGCCAGGGGGCAAAGGAACAAGGCUCCAUGUCUGAUUGUCAAUGAGAGCUUGAAGCUCAGAAUUCAUAGCUUCCUGCCACUUAGGAUCAGUCAUAGCAAGUUCAUAUGAAGGAGGUUCCUCAUCACGACUAACAUUGGCAAUAUAACAGAGAUGUGAUGGAGAAUACCGAUUAUAAGAAAUAAAAUGACAGAGAGGAUACUUCGUACCUAGUGUAGGUGCAGACGAGGCUGAGAACAAUUGGUGUGGAGGCAGAAUCACCUGCCAGCAAACAUAAUCCUUGAGGCGGACGUUGGCUUCUCUAGGGCGUUGAGAACGGCGAAGUGGCUGAUCAGGAAUAACCAGAGUAGGUUCAGGAAGGACAGGGUCAUCUGGCUGAACAGGGGUUUGUUGUGCAGCUGGUGGAGUUAAUGGAGUAGAGGAAGGUGGCUCAGGAAGAGAAGGUACUAGGUUGGUUGGUGCAGGUGAAGAGGAUAUGGGGGGAUCAAAGGGGUCGAUGAUGACUGAUGAGGGAGGAAGAUGGGAAUAAGAAUCAGACACAAUAGGAAGAGGAAUAGGCAAGCCUGGUGGAUUGUGUGCUGGAGGAUAGACUUGUGGUGGAUGAUAAAAGGUGUCCUCAAGAAAUACCACAUCCCGAUUGGUGAAAAUUUUCUGAGUUGCAAUAUCGUAAAGUUUGUAAGCUUUUUGUCCCAUAGGGUAACCAAGAAAAAUGCAUUUUGUGGCACGGGGAGAAAAUUUUGAGGAUGGAUUGACUAUAGUUGCAAAAGCAACACAUCCAAAAACUCGCAUGCGAGAAUAAUCAGGAAGUUUGUUGUAAAGAAUCUCAAAUGGUGUUUUUUUGUGAAGCAACAGAGUAGGAAGGCGAUUAAUAAUAUGGACGGCAGUAAGAAUCCAUUCUCCCCAGAAAGUAAUGGGUAAAUGAGAUUGAAAACGUAGAGCGCGAGCAGUUUCAAGGAUGUGUCUAUGUUUGCGCUCAACGACACCAUUUUGCUGAGGUGUAUAUACACAAGAGUGUUGAAAAAGGACGCCUUCCUCAAGAAAGAAAUUUUUUAAUGAAAGAAAUUCAGCCCCAUUAUCAGAAUAGAGUUUUUGAACCUUUGUAUUGAAUUGAGUGUGAACAUAAUGAAAAAACUGACGAAGUAGAGUUUGUGUCUCACUCUUGUUACGCAUUAAAAAAACCCAUGUAAAACGAGAAAAAUCAUCCACAAUGGUCAAGAAAUAAAAAGCACCAGAAAUAGAAGGGGUUUUAUAAUGACCCCAAAUAUCACAAUGAAUAAGAGAAAAACACUUCGAAGUUGAAAUUGAACUAGAAGGAAAAGGUUGACUAGUUUGUUUUGCCAAUGGACAAACGUCACAUUUAUGACUGGAAUCAAAAUUAAAUUUAAGCGAAUUAUCAGCUAAAAAUUGUAAACGAUUAGAAGAAAGGUGUCCCAAUCGGCGAUGCCAGAGAUUGGAUGAGAUAAUCAAAUUGCAAGCAAAAUGGGUAGAAGGAGGUGUUGAAGCCAACGCCACAAGGUAAUACAGGUCAUCACGUCGCUUACCCACACCAAUCAUUGUCCUCGUAGCCAAGUCCUGCAAAAUACACCAAGAUGGAAAAAAGUCACUGAGCAAUGUAAAUCAUCGGUUGUCUUGCCAAUAGACAUAAGAUCAACUUUAAAGCUUGGCACACAGAGGACAUUAUUCAAUUGAAGAGAAUUGUUAAGUUGAAUUGAGCCAGUCACAGUAAUUUUAGCCACGUCUCCACUAGGUAAGGAAACAGGUGCCAAAGAUUGAUUCUUGUUGGCAUGCUUUAAUAAUGUAGGAGAAGAAGUAAUAUGAUGGGUUGCCCCACUAUCAAGUAUCCAGCGAUUGUGAGCAACCGGUAAUAAACCUGAUGUAUGUUUGAAGGUUGAGUCAGCAACAACAUUAGCCUGUGGAGUGACAGGCUUGGUGGUCAAGACACUGAGUAUCUGAACAUAUUGAUCCUCAGUUAAGUUGGGCAGAGAGACCUGGAGUUCCUGAAAAGUGGGAUUAAAAUCCACUUGAUUUGCAGAGGGGUUACCAGAUGCAGAGUGUGAGUUAUGCCUGUCAUAGCCUUGGCGCUGGUGUGGUGCCUUUUCUUUACUUUUUGGAUGACCAGGAGGGUAGCCAAUUAAUUUGUAACAGGUUGCUUUCCUGUGAUACAUAUCACCACAGUAAGUGCACUGAAAAGGCUCUUUAUUACGUGAAUUAUUUGAUUGAUUCCCAUGAACUUGAUUAUUUUGCCGACCCUUGGACAUGUUGUAAUUGCCACGCACAGCCAUGGCUGCUGUAUUUGAUGGUAUGGUGACAGCGGCCCCCAACUCUCGUUGUUUUUCUUCCUGCACAACAAAGGCAUAAGCUUGACGAACCGAUGGUAAAGGGUUCAUCAGUAAAAUAUGACCUCUUGCACUUGAAUAUGACUCGUUGAGUCCUAUAAGAAACUGUAUAAGUUUGGUUCGAUCAUUUUGCGCACCACAGGUACAUGUUUCUGAAUUAAAGGAUACAAGCUCGUCCCAUAAACCCUUCAAUUUUGUGUAAUAUGCUGCAACUGACAUCUGACCUUGCUCAAUCCUGUAGAUGUCUCGCUGAACCUGAAAAAUACGGGGAGCAUUCCCUAAAGAAAAUCUUUCACGAAGAUCUUCCCAGAUGGCAUAAGGAGUGUUGCAUGAAAGAACAGAAUCGGCUAACUCUGGCUCAAGAGAAUUUAGGAUCCACGAAAGCACCAUGUCAUUGCAGCGCUGCCAAAGGGCAUGUUCUUCAGGAUUUGAAGCCUCAUGGGGUUCUUUGAUUUUGCCAGUAAUAAAACCUGUCUUAUUCUUGGCACUUAGAGAAAUUUUCAUAGCACGGUGCCAAGAAUUAUAGUUGUCACCAUUCAAUCGUUUUGAAACAAGAAGCAAACCAGGGUGAUCUGAGUGGUUGAGGAAUAAUGGAGAACCAAGGGUGCUGGGAGCAGAGGAUGAAUCGCCAGAACUCAAAAAAUCAAUAUCAUUAGCAGCCAUGAUUUAAAAGAGAAUAAAAAGGAGGCAAGGCAGAGACGGAACAAACAGAUGCGUUGAAGAAGAAGAAAAAAUAGGGUUAGGUCGUAGCCUGCUCUGAUACCAUAUAAGUAAAAAACUAUUCAAGCGGAAUGCUUUUCUGUAUUGAUUAAGUUCAAUAUAUAUACAAGAUACAUUAGGGUUCCCUUAUACAUCAGAGACUGAUAAGGAAUGACAACUAAUUGAAUGCAGAUUGAUAUAAAAUAUUCUUACGUAUCUUUCCUACUUAUCUCAAGAUAUAACUUUCCUAUUUACAUCAAAACACUAUUAAUAUAAUUUCCAACACAUGCCAGUCAUUACAGCACUUUACCGGUGAUGGUGAAAGCAGUCACUUACAUUACCUUUUUAUACAGCAGAACAUGAUUUUUGUUUCACUUUCCUAGCCUUAACCAAACAUGAUAAAAAAUGUACAGAUAUUACUUGUGAGUGGAAUUCCUCGUCGAUUAGGAAACAAAAAAAUCGAUAUGCUUAUAUAUAAAACAGUUAAGUGUCAAAUUUUAAAUAAAAGUCCCAGCAAAAAACCAGAAAACAAAAGGUUAUAUUUUUACAUUCUUUCCUCCAAUUUAGGAAUUUGAAAAAGAGGUGGACACUAAGUAAAAGAGUGCUGGUAUAGAUGCAAAAGACAGAAAUCCCAAACAUUCACAAAGGUACUGCUAGUAAAAAGACAACGUAGAAAACUAUGAAGCUGAUUAUGCUAUUGAAAACAAUAAAGGAGGACAAGUACUUUAUUUCUUCCUAAGUGCACAACAACAAUCUAAUAAAGUUUGGUAUGUUAAUAGCACUUUCAUUAAACCAGAUGAUAUGUCUUCACAUUUAAAGAUCAUAGAUGGAAAGUGUCUAGAUAUAAAAGUAUGAUUUUUUAUAUUCUAAAAGUUCAAGCAAAAAGUUAUGUCUUUUCUAUUUUGAAAAAUGAAUAAGGUGAAUGAUUUUUUCACAGCAUUCUAAGCCACCAUUCAUCUUAUAGGAUUUGAACUAAUUACAUGAAUUUCCAACCUGGAAAUAACGUUCAGAAAGAGAAAAGGUAACAUCAUUUCAUGAAGCACCAACACCAGACAUGUUAACCGAUGAUCUAAGCUUCCGAAUUCCAAGAAGCAUAUUUUGAGUGACAAUACAUUUUAAAAAAUAAGGCUCUCAGUCACAUUAAAACAGAACAAAUGAAGGUGAACCCAAUUCAUUCUUCCAGUUCAAAUUAUGUCAAAUCAAAUGGAUUCCAAAAUGCAAUUAACAGGAAAAAGAAAAAAUAAUAAUAAUUGGGCUAUAAAAAUUUCAAAGCUCGAAGACGAACAUAUAUAGAACGAUCACAUUCAUGCUUAAGCAUUUAAUUUCCCUUUGUUCCUUUAGAUCACAUGCAUGUCCAGGAAGACAUAUUUGUUAACAUUAUGUUAGUUUCACCUUGCUGUUACUCAUGCAGAAUAUGGUUAUAUCAGUUAGGAAUUCGUUUGUAACAAACCGCAAUUGUAGGGGUCUUUCCGUAGAAGUCAAGGAAUAGUUUCUACUACCUACUGCUAUAUAAAGGCAGAUGUAUUGAUGAAUUAAGAUAACUUGAAAUCUGUAUACAAAUAUUAUGAAUAAAAUUCGUAGAGUGAAACUCAUUUUAUCAUGGUAUCAGAGCAUGGAAAUGCACUACUGAUAUAUCUUUCCCCUGAAAUCUCCUUCUUGAUAAAGCUUUCCUGUACCUGUAUCGUCUCUUUCUCUGUUUGUGUAUCUUUCUCAGUUUCCUUCACCAUCCUUUUCACCAUCCAAUCCUGCAUUCUUGAAAAUCCUGCAUUUUCUCUGUCAAUCUUGCAUCCUUAUCACCUUUCUCUCUUUUAAAGAAAAAAAAAAGGAAGGGGAAAACAAAAUAAACGUCUGCCUAUAUGAUCAUUCACCUGUUCUUCUGCACUCUAAAUCUUGCAAUCUGUUCUUGAAUAUUUUCUGCAUUAUGAUCUUGAAAUGUAUUCUUCCUUUUCUUGCAUUCCGAUCACUUUCUUUGCAUCCUGAGAUCACUUUCUUUGCAUCCUGAGAUCACUUUCUUUUCUAUCAUUCUUGAUUUUUCCAUGAUGAAUGAUAAAACAACAGAAUCGACACCCAUUAUCCAUGUACAAACUGAAAACUCUGGAUUCACAACCAGUGUUAUUCUCACUGAAACUAAUUACGAUGUAUGGUCUCAGAUCAUGGAAAUGCAGAUUGUAGGAAGAGAAAAGCUUGAAUAUAUUAUGGGCAAAACACAACCACCACAAGAUACUGAUGCUUCUUAUUCAAGAUGGUAUGCAGAAAAUCAAAAGGUUAAAGGAUGGCUGCUGACGUCUAUGUCACCAAACAUCAUGAAAAAAUACAUCCGACUACGCACUGCACGAGAAAUUUGGAAUGCCUUGUCUAAAGCCUUCUACGAUGGAUCAGACGAAUCACAACUCUUUUCACUUAACUAGAAAGCCUUCUCCACAAAACAGAUAGGUUGACCACUAUCAACAUAUUAUGGUGAUCUUAUGGAAAUCUUCCAAGAACUUGAUCAUCGCGACAGAACUGAAAUGAAAGACCCGGAUGAUGUUAUUACUUACAGAAGAUUUGUUGAAAGAUUACGGGUACAUAUUUUCUUGAAUGGAUUGGAUGCAGAAUUUGAACAAAUCCAAGGGGAAAUUCUUAGAAAAGAUCUGAUAUUGGAUCUUGAAGAAGCUCAUGCUUCUGUACGUCGUGAUGCUGUUCGCAUAGCUACUUUAAACAAUGAAGCUGGAGCUGGUCAUGCUGAAUCAUCUGCAAUGAUGGCAUGACGAGGUAAGCCUAGAAUAUACCGAUCAAAUGGUCCUACAAUUGAAAAAAUUCGGACAUCAGAAAUUCAGAACAGCAGCUAUGAAAUUGAAAAGGCAAAAUCAGAAUAUGUCUGCACACACUGUGGUGAGACUGGACAUACAAAACUGAAAUGCUAUGAACUAAUUGGGUAUCCAGAAUGGUGGGAUCCUGCUAAAACACCUGGUAAACAAAACUCAAAACCAAAUACCCAUGCUUUAGUUGCAGUGGCAGAACAUCUUUCAAUCAAAACAAUGACCAGUCUCACGACUAAGGAAGAAUCUGUGGCAGAACAUCAACAUCCUUCAACACUCACAGGGGAAGAAUCUGGUAAAGUCUUUCAUACCUCCACUCUUAGCAGUAGAAAUGAAUGGAUAAUUGAUUCCGGAGCUAUUGACCAUAUGACCUUUGACAAGUUGUGGCUUCAAUUUUUUAAACCAUCAGACCAAUAUAUUAUAUCCUCAGCAAAUGGUACCUCAUCGUCUGUUAAUGGGGAAGGUUCUGUCAUCCUUACUGAAAAUAUAAGUCUUGAAUCCGUAUUAGUUGUUCCAACUCUUAAUUAUAAUUUACUUUUAGUUGCUUAAAUAACUCUUGCUCUGCAAUGCAUUGUUAUUUUUUGGCCUAACCUUUGUGUUUUCAAGGAUAUUCGAACUCGGAAGACAAUUGGUUAUGGUACUGGAAGGGGAAAGCUCUAUUAUCUGGAUUUAACACCAGCAAGUUGUCACCAGUUAGCUCAAGCAUUCUCCAUGAAUAAAUCUGCUGCAAACUCUGAAAUUUGGUUAUGGCAUAAAUGCUUAGGUCACUCAUCCUUUGGAUAUUUGAAGAAAUUAAUGCCGAAACUCUUUGUUCAGCUACUUGACACAGAGUUUAAAUGUGAUGUGUGUGAAUUGGCUAAAAGCCAUCGGGUUCCAUUUCAAAACAACAUGAAUAAAAGCCCAGCACCGUUUACGAUUGUACAUUCAGAUGUAUGGGGUCCAACAAAUACCUGCUCUCUUAAUGGUAAACGAUGGUUUAUUUCCUUUAUUGAUAAUCACACACGUAUGACAUGGAUUUGCCUAAUGAAAUGCAAAAGUGAAGUAAGUUCAUUAUUCAAACAAUUUCAUAACAUGGUAGCCACACAAUAUAGUUCUGCAAUACAGGUUCUCCGUAGUGACAACGGUGGAGAAUUCGUUAAACAGGAGUUGAAACAAUAUCUGAUUAAUCAUGGAAUUGUUCACCAAACCACUUGCCCUUACACCCCUCAACAAAAUGGGGUUGCAGAACGUAAGAACCGCCAGCUUCUUGAAGUUGUUCGAGCCUCUUUAUUUGAAGCUCAUAUGUCAACUAAAUAUUGGGGUGAAGCUAUCACCGCAGCAACAUAUCUUAUCAACCGAAUACCCUCAAGCACAUUAGGAUUUCAGACCCCAUUGAGUGUUCUUCAUAAAGCAAUAUGUUCUCCUACUGUGUCACAUUUGCAACUAAGAGUUUUUGGAUGUACAGCUUUUGUUCAUCUUCACAAACCAUUAAGGAAUAAGCUGGAUCCGCGAGCACUCAAGUGCAUAUUUGUUGGUUAUGCCCAGCAUCAGAAAGGUUAUCGCUGCUAUCAUCCACCAACUCAGAAACUCUAUGUCACGCUUGAUGUUGUAUUCCAUGAAAAUAGAAUGUAUUACUCUGCCCCUGAAUCCUCAAGCCAGGAGCAUAACAAGGAUAACUGGCAGACAUGUUAUGAUGACCUAUAUGUUACAAGAGAUAAGCAUUCUAGUAAUACAUCUUCACAUUCCAUGCAAGAUGGAAAUAGUGAAGAAUAUAUAGAAGCAGAACCACAACAAACCACUGGCAGUGAAGAAAACCGAAUAGAGGUACUGCAACAAGAAACUCAGGUACCUUAGUUGCCAGCUUCCCCACUUCAAUUGUGUCCUGAGUUUGAAUCCGUAACUGAACCUCAAGUAAGUUCUGAAACUCAACUCAAGGUUCUACCCCACAGAACCACGAGAGGAAAACCCAAAACUGCAUAUGAACCACUUCUCACCUCUAAACCUCAUUAUCUUAUGAGUAAUUUUGUGUCCUACCAUAGAUUAUCAAAGGAUAAUGAAACUUUUAUGAAUCAAAUAUCUGCUAUAUCUAUUCCUAACAGUGUGUAGGAAGCCAUAACAGAUUCAAUAUGGAAAGAGGCCAUGAAUGAAGAAAUGAGAUCCCUUCAAAAAAAUUCCACAUGGGAAGUGGUUGAACUUCCUGCAGGAAAGGUACCGGUUGGAUGCCGGUGGGUGUUUACCAUUAAACAUAAAGCGAAUGGCACCAUUGAAAGGUUUAAAGCAAGGCUUGUCGCCAAAGGGUACACUCAAACUUGUGGGAUUGAUUAUAUGGAAACAUUUGCACCGGUAGCCAAGAUAAAUAUUGUUCGUAUCCUACUAUCUCUGGCCGUGAACCUUGACUGGCCCCUAUAUCAACUUGACGUAAAAAAUGCAUUUUUGCAUGGGGAUCUCCAAGAACAAGUAUAUAUGGAAUUACCUCCUAGAUGUAUUAUGCAAAUCAAAGGAAGCACAAAGGUAUGCAGGUUAAAGAAAUCCCUAUACAGGUUAACGCAAUCUCCGAGAGCAUGGUUUGGGAGGUUCACUAAUUUCAUGAAAUCCAUUGGAUACAAGCAAAGCAACUCAGACCAUACGUUAUUCCUGAAAACAAAAAAAAGGGAAGUCACAGCUCUGAUCGUGUAUGUGGAUAAUAUGAUAGUAACCGAAAAUAAUCCUGAAGAGCAGAAAGCAUUGCAGAAUCGUCUUGCCCAGGAAUUUGAAAUGAAAUCUCUAGGGUCACUUAAAAUACUUUCUUGGUAUUGAAGUAUCACGAUUGAAAGAAGGAAUUUUUUUGUCUCAACGAAAGUAUGCCCUAGAUUUGUUAAAAGAAACAGGUAUGACAGCUUGUAGUCCCGUCAGCACUCCUAUAGAAGAAAACCUGAAACUGAGUAUACAUCCACAACAAAUCCACACUAAUAAAGAACGUUAUCAAAGACUAGUGGGAAGAUUAAUGUAUCUUGCACAUACCAGACCUGAUUUAGCUUAUACUUUAAGUGUAAUCAGUUAGUUUAUGCACUCCCCUAGUGAACAACAUAUGAAAGUUGUCACUCGUAUCUUGCGCUAUUUGAAAUCAUCUCCAGGUAAAGGAAUUAUAUUUAAAAAGGGGGACAACUUGAAGAUUGAUGGAUAUACCGAUGCUGAUUGGGUAGGGUCAAUACAAGAUUGAAGAUCUACAUCGGGAUAUUUCACAUUUGUGGGUGGAAACUUGGUCACUUGGUAAAGUAAGAAACAAGAAGUAGUGGCUAGAUCCUCAGCUGAAGCUAAAUACAGGGAAAUGGCCAAAGCGAUAUGUGAAUUAUUAUGGAUAAAAAAUUUGUUGCAGGAAUUACAGGUUGAGUAGACAAGUCCUAUGAGAUUGUAUUGUGAUAGCAAGGCGGCAUGCGACAUUGCUCAUAACCCUGUCCAACAUGAUAGAACUAAGCAUGUUGAAGUUGAUAGACAUUUUAUCAAGGAAAAAUUGGAAGCAAAAAUUAUCGAAGUUCCUCAUAUUCAAUCUCAAGAUCAGCUUGCAGAUGUGCUGACGAAGGUAGUAUCCAGCCAAGUUUUUCAUAUCAGUCUUGACAAAUUGGGCAUGAAUGAUAUCUAUGCACCAAUUUGAGAGGGGAUGUUAACAUUAUGUUAGUUUCACCUUGUUGUUACUCAUGCAGAAUAUGGUUAUAUCAGUUAGGAAUUCGUUUGUGACAAAUCGCAAUUGUAGGGGUCUUUCCGUAGAAGUCAAGGAAUAGUUUCUACUGCCUACUGCUAUAUAAAGGCAGAUGUAUUGAUGAAUUAAGAUAACUUGAAAUAUGUAUACAAAUAUUAUGAAUAAAAUUCGUAGAGUGAAACUUAUUUUAUCAAUAUUAAGAAGCAACUAGAAAUUAAGGAGUUCCUAUGAGCUUCCUUAAUGGUGAUCAUAAUUCAUGGAUAUGGUUAUGAGCUUAGGCGUCGCAAUUAAAGGGGCAUUAACAUCUUUCAAGUUAGACCGGCACUGUGUAAUGACAAUUACAUAUGAUCUAGACCAGCCUUCAUCAAACAAUUUGAAACAAUUAUAUCUUUCCUUAAUUUUUUGUUCCAAAAACUAACGAAAGAUAAAUUUUUUUUCACAUAUAUAGGUUUAGUACAGAUUAUUAUAGUCAAAUCAUUUCAUCAUCUCGGAUUAGACUCUCCCAUUCUCAUGCGUUCAAGAGACCACAAAUUUAUGACCUUUUCAAACUCACUACUUACAAUCUUUCAAUCAAAUCUUGCUAAUGGUUCUACAUACUUGAAUUGUUAUCCAAAUAUCACUAUCUCAUUAUUCAUCCUAGAUAUUAUAGUGAAAACUUUAACUCUAAAUAUUAAGACUUAUUAAGACUCCAACUGAUAUGCUUCGAGAUUCCAAAAAUAUAGUCAUCAUCUAUAGAAUAUAUUACAAAAUCAUGGAUACAAACAUAGCUCCAAAAGCUCUCAAAAAAUCAUCUAUGAAUUAAACUCUUCGAAUUGAAGCUAACUCUCAAAAUUCAAACAUUCAAGUUCCUAAACUUUGAUAAUGAGAUCAAGUCACGUACAAUGAUAAUUGGAAAUUACCUCACGUCCGUAUUCCAAAGUCAUUACCAUCUAGAAAAUGAUUAUGUUCCAACUUGCCUCAAAUAAUCAAUUUUGAAUCCUUUCAUCAGCAUGAGUCCAAACAUCUCACAUAUAAAUUAUUCUUAAUCUCUCCAAACACCCUUGUUUGUUCAAUCCCAAAAUGCACCUUUAACAACAUUAUUGUUGAUGCCAAGGGUUUUUAUGAAAUUAAGAUUUCUUAGUUAUUAUUAUUUUCUAUUUAGUUUAGGAAAAUAUUUUUUUAUGGUGAUUUUAUUUUUCUUUUUAGUUUAGGAAAUCAAAUAUUGAGAAUAGUAAUUUUAUUUCUCUAAGUUUGUUUAGGAAUUUUUGUUACUUUUUCUUUAUUUUAGGAUUUUCUAGUUUGUUUCAUUUGAUGUUUAAGCUUAUUUAAAGAGUUGAAAACAUCUUAAAGAGGCAAAAGAAAUAGUGGAUUUUUCUAUUCAUCAAUAAAACUAUAAAUUAAGGUUCUUGUGCUCUACCCUAUUUCAACUAUUAAUUUUUUUUCUCUUGCUAUUGUCCUUGUCGCACGUGUGCGGCGUCGCGGCGAUCGUCCUCCACACUCAAUUGUGUAUCUGGAAAAUAUUGGGAGACAAGGAAUUCUUUGUCUCUUAGCGGUGAAAAAAUAGAAUUGGAGUCGCCACCUAGUAUUCUGGUUACUAGGAACCGUAACUGGUCUUAGAGAUCGGGUACGGAGACUAGUUGCGUAAAGGGAAGGUAUUAGCACCCCAAAUACGCUCUAACUAAGGUAAGCUGCAUUGUUUUAUUUGUCUGAUCAAAAUCUAAGGUUUGGUCGUGUUUUCUAAUUAUUGGUCCUGUCUGUCUAAGAUUUAAGAAAAGCCCUCCUCAAUAAGUAGGUUCUUAUCUUAAUGGGGUAGAACCUAACCGUUCUAACGUUGGAAAAAUUUUUAAUAUCUAGAAUACGUAUUACGUGUAAUAUCAUACCCCGGAUACUAAAAGACAAAACAAAAUAAAAUUUUUGUUGUUUUUUAAAUUUUAGCCAAUGUUCUCUUCACUUUAAUAAACUGGUUAUUAAAGCCAAAAUGCAUGCUAAAACAUUGUUUUUUUGGUGUAUGAAAAACACAAUAUGAUUUUUUAGCUUUGAGACACUUGGUCGUAUGCACAAAAAUAUUUUUCUCUUUUUUUCAAUUUUUUUUUUUUUUGUAUUUUGAAAGUUUUGACGAAAACUGAGUAUUUUAAUAUCGAAUUUGUAUUUUUACGAUGUAAAAAUACAAAUCAAUAUUAAACAAAAUUUAGUAGAGAAAUACGCGGAAGAGUUAUAAAUUUUUGAAAAUAUUUUUUUUUGAAUUUUUAUGGACCGGGCUGGACACAGCCCACUCAUUUUGGGCUGUCCGGCCCAGUGAACAGUGGAGCACUCUCCACUGUUCACAACUUCGCAUGCUACGCUGAACAGUGGAGAGUGAAUUAAUUCACUCUCCACUGUUCACGCAGAACAGUGGAGAUGGUGCAGCGACGAAGAAGAAGAAGAAGAAGAAGAAGAAGGAAGAGGGGCGGAAGGCUGACCUGCGAUGGCGGUGGUCUGGCCGACGUGAAGGGCAGUGUGGAGCAAGCGGUGGUGGUAGACGGUGGCUGAGGCAGGAAGAAAGACGGAGAAGAAAAUCUGCAGGUGAGAAAGAGAGGGGGCAGCGGCAGCUCCUGGUGGCCGAACGGUUUACUGCUGUGGAGCUGAUGGAGGAGAGGCCGGUGGUGGCUGGAACGGCGGUGAUGGAUGGUGGUGGGAUGGCUGUCCUGUUGUCGCUGCUUCUUCUUCCUCUGUUUCUAUUUUUUUCAGUGUUUCUUCUUCUGUUUCUCACGGUGCAGGGCUGCUUCAAUGACGGGGAGGACGGUGAUGUUGUGGCGGAGGAGAGGAAGCACAGCGGUGGUGCCCAGGUGGUGAGGAACGGUCCUUCUUCUCCUCUGUGCAGUGACCCCCCUAGUCUCUGUUCUUCUCUUUUUUUCGAAAGUUUUCCUCCUCUGUUUUUUUCUUUUGGCUUCAGUUUUUCUGUUCCUUCACUCUGCUCGGUCUUGCUUCCCUCUCUGUCACUACCCUUCUCUUCUUCUCCAAAAUUUUGCCCCCCCUGGUUUCCUUUUUUCUUUUCCUCCUCCCCCCUCCAUUUUCUGUUCUCCUGCCCUCAAUUUAUAGGUAGUCGAGGAGAGGUUCACCAUACCCUGUACAAGCACAGGGCAUGGUGGCCGGGGCAUGGGUCUUCUCCUUUUCGUUAUGGUGGGGGGCAUGGGUCUCCUGUUUCUCCAUUAAUGAGGGUAUGGGUUGUGUAAGUAGUUAGGCAAGUGGGGGAGGUAGAGAAGGAGAGGGUGAGCGGGAAAAAGAUUUCAAAAAUCUUCUUCUCCCCUGCCUCUGCAUUUGCAGGGGAGAAGAAGCUGCACAACGGCACCGUGCAGUUUUUUUUUUUGAAGAAAAGGAAAAAAAGAAUUUGGGAGUGACCCAAAAAUGAGUUAUUACAGUACUAUUGCUUGUAAUUUCACUUGUGUUAAUUACCCUCCAAAUUUUCCUUAAAAAAAGCAUUUACCCUUUCAAGUCAAGAAGCUAUUAUCUUCAAGUUAUUUUAGAAAGUAUGUUGAAAACAAGAUAAUUUUAUGAGUUUAUUUUGGUUGAUAUUGACUUUGUUGAAAUAACUGAUAAUCAAGAUGUAAACAAUCUUGUUUUUUCAAAAAUAAAAAUUCAAAAGGUUUUAACCUUUCAAGACAUGAAUCAAAACCCCUACACCUUGAAAGAUUUUCUCAAAACUACCACCCUCAAAGAUCCAAUUAUUUUGAUUUUCAACAAACUUGGUUUAAUUUAUUUUUUCUAAAAAAACUAUGACCAUUCAUCGUUCAUCCAUUUUGAUAAAACAUUGUCCAAAGAAUUUUCCAACUUAGUUCUCAAACAAUUGGUGGCAAUAUUUUUCUUCAAUAAGUAAGAUUCUCCCUAAAAAAUCAUACAAGGAUUGGAAUUGCUUACAGCAAAAAUACCUUUGAAUUCAAUUCCUGCCUCUUUUUAUUUCAUCUCAACCUUUAGUGUCUCAUGCUAUCUUGGGACUCCAUUAUAAUGAAUGAUGUAGAUGAAGAUAUUGGUUACUUUUUAGAUCUCAGGAGGAAAAUCAAAGUCAAAUGGUGGACCCAAAUUCAGAGAAACUCAAGCUUGUUCUCAAGUUAUGCAUGCUUGGCUAGAAUCUCAUCAAACUCCAUAGCUGCAAGCAUCCCCAUCAACUCUAUCUCAAGAAGCACAAUUUACGUUUCUCACCUCUAAAAUUCGAAUUCAAGAAAACCUUGCAUCAUCAAGCUCAAAGUCAAAAUACAAGAAAAAACUUCAAGAAGCCUUAUAUGAAAUAUCAAGUUCCGAUGAGGAUGAAUUCGCUAAUGAAAAUCCAGAUUAUGGCCAUGGUCUUAAUUAUGAGUUACAUAUAUAUAUAUAUAUAUAUAUAUAUAUAUAUAUAUAUAUAUGGACGCCAUCCUUCAUAAAACAUCCUCCUAUUUUAAUUAUUCAAGAAUAUUUGACAAAACAUCCAGCCACUUCAAUUAUUCAAAAAGUGUAUAUCACGUCAUCCAAGACAUAUUCUCAACUUCAAGCAGAAUUUCAUUAGAUUUAAAGUUAAAAAGCCUACUAUAAAUAAGUCUUUCAUUAAAAGAGACUAAAGGAGCUCCCAUUUUUACUAUAGAUUUAUUAUUGUUGUCGCGGGGUGCGCCGCGAUGUCGUCAGCGACGACGAGGCUUUAUGUCAUGCCUCCCUCAUGAGGUGUUGUGUUGGAAAGGUUUUUGGAUUUAAUCAUAAAAUUAUGAUUAAUGUUCAAGAGUCGCUACCUAGUAUUAUGGUCACUAGAAACCUAUGGUCUGCGAGUCUGCGUAGGGGAUUGGUUGUGCAAGGGAAAGACGCAUCACCCUCAGUGCACCCUACCUAAGGUAAGCUGCAUUGUUUUUUUAUUAUUUUUCUAGGUCGGGUUUCUAUUCGUUCAUCUUUUCUAAGGUUCAAGACAGAUCUCUCUUCAUAAGAGAGUCUCUACAUUAUCGGAUUAAAUCCUAACCAUUCUAAAAUCUGAAUUUUAGCAUCGCAUUUAUUUACACCUUGUAUCUUUAGUACAUGAGGGUGUACUUUAUCAUGUAAUUUUACACUCCACGGAUAUUAAACUCUACAUCUGGACCCUAAAAACAAUUGGAAAAAGGUUUUUGAUAUUUUGGCCAAACCCUAAUGGAUGAUCAUAAAUUGGUUAUGAUAUCCAUUUUUUUUUUUGGAUUUUCAAAACAUGAGAAAGAUACAAUUUUUUUAAUGAAAAUAUGCUUGGAAAAGUUUUAGGAUUUGGCCAUAUGCAUGGAAACAAAAUAUUUUUUUUGUUUUUUUAAAAAGAAAAAUUAAUUUAAUGGAAUAUAUUUCGAAGAAAAUCGGGUAUUUUAAUACCGGGUUUGUAUCUUACAGUGUAAAAAUACAACCCAAUAUUAAGCAAAAUUGAUAGAAAAACAUGCAGAAAAAUCACAAAUUGUUUUUAGGAUUUUUGAAAUUUUUUUGGAAUUUUUUGUUUUUUUAAUGCAAAAAAAUAAUAUAAUAUAACAUUAAAUGUGUGGGCUGGGCCCGGCUCAGCCCAAUAAGAGGUUGGGCCAAUCUUGGCCCAACAUCUCUGUUUUUUUUUUGUCUAGGACGGGACCAGCCCAGCCAAUUGGCUGGGCCAGAAUUGACCCAGCCCAAAAUCCACUAGAACAAUGGACGUGAAUUAUAAUUCACGUUCUACUGUUCAAAAUAGUGGAACUCUACAAGGAGAAGGAGAAGGAGAAGAAGAAGAAGAAGAAGAAAAAGAAGAAGAAGAAGGGGAAGGGGAGCAAGAGGCUACCCAAGCUAGAGAGGACCUGCUGGUCUUGGUGGUCAACCUGAAGCUGGUGGCGGUGUCUGUGGAGGAUUCCGUGUUGAUGUUGUUUUUGCCGGUGCUGGAGAAGGAAGAAUAUGAAAAUGGUGGCGCUGAUGGGCUGUUGAAGCUACUGCUGCUGUGGAGGAAGAGAUAUGUCACACCCAGACAUCGCGGCGAUCGAUUAAAAAUUCUCUCUCGAUUGGAAAAAGAACAGAUAUCUGGCAUCUUGUUCUUUAAGGAAAACGGUCUUGUUCAAGGAGUCGCCACCUAGUAUUAUGGUCACUAGGAACCCUAAUUGGUCAACAGAGAUUCUAUGAUACGGAACUGGUUACGCGAAAGACAUCAACUAAGUCCUUCCACUUUUUUACCUUGGUAUUAUCUAACCGCAUAUACCAAAUAAGGGCAACGUCACUCAAACUAUCUUGAAAGAAGUGAAUCAAUAAUUUAUCAUCAUAAACUACCUCAGCCAUUUUGUUGUAGUAUGUCUUGAGAUGAGUUACAGGGCAUUGAGUUCCUGUAUAUUUGACAAAUUCUGGCACCCUAAACUUCUUAGGAAUGACUACGUUAGGUACCAAACAUAUCUCGGCGGCUUUCACCAGGUCAUACAAAUGGUUUCCCUCAGCUGCCCUCACCCUAUCUUCUAGGGCAGUCUAUUUUUCUAGACCCUCAUCUCUUACCAUUUUGUUCUUGUGAGACUCCUCCAAGGUCGACUCAACAUCAUGAGGGAUCCUCAUUGGGUAUGCAGGCUGAGCUGGGAAAUGCGCAGCGUAUUGGGGCUCCGGCGAGGUUCUACUUGCCCCCAAGUUUGGUGGAUUGGAGAAAGCUGCCAGCAUCGACGGAAUAUGGGCUGUAAAUGCUGGUUGGGAGGAUGUCCCUUCUCCCAACUUGGAUCUCAGAGCUUGCUCGAGUAGGCUAGUAAGUCUAGCGACAUCAAAUUGUCCAACUCUUUUUUAUGUUGGGCGUCCAAUCGAUCUCUUUCUUCGUUUCCCUUUUUUUUUCCGCAACUGCGUGUUAUGAGUGCGUUUUAAUGGGGGACCUACAUUUCACCUGGAGUGCGGUAUUAUAAUAGUUCAUAUAUGCAUGAAGAUUGUCAUAACCCAAUUUUUGACCAUUUUAUUUUAUUAUUAUUAUUAUUACUAUUAUUUUAUUUACUGAAAAAUGAUAAUAAAAAAAUAAAAAAAUGAUGAUGAAAAACAAAUAAAAAAUGAAGAAUAAAUUAAAAUUUGGGUUAAGGACAACAUGAUUGUAAGUUUUGAGACUUAAUUGAGCUUGGAAUUAAUUUAAUUAAUCAAAUCAAGGGCUUAAUUGAAGAAUUGAUAAGUUUUGAGAGUUAAUUGAGCUUGUAAUUAAUUUAAUUAAUCAAAUCAAGGGCUUAAUUGGAGAAUUGAGAGUUAAUUGGGCUUGGAAUUAAUUGAAUUAAUGAAAUCAGGGACUUAAUUGAAGAAAUACCAAAGUUUGGGGUUAAUUGGGGGCAAAAUUGCAACAGAUUAGAGUCCAAGGACUGUUUUGUAAAAGGCUCCAAAAUGCAGGGGUUCAAUUACAAUUGAACUAGGGGCUUAGUUGCAAAACUUUCAAAAAUUCAAGGGCCAAAAUGCAAAUAGCCAUUUCACAUCUCAAAACGGCGCCGUUUCAAGGGACACUGUUCAUCUUCUUCAAACAAGAAACGGACACUGCACGAUCCUCAUUCCCUCAUUACUCCUGCAAACGGUCGGUCACCUCAUUAUUUAGAGGUGAUCGCAUGGCAUUCUCUGGCUCUAUAAAAGCUAGAGAAAGGCCAUGCACGCGAAAAGAAAAGGAGGGCAGAACCGAGGGGCUGAGAGGAGAGAAAAGAAGAAAAACUGGGGAAAAACUGGGGAAAAAAAAACGAGGGGGGAGAACGGAAAAAAAACCAAGUGAGUAGAAAAAAAAGGGAAACCCAGAAAAACAGAAAAAAGACAGCACACAGAGAAAAAACCCAAGAGAGAGCACGAACCAAACAAAGACUACACAGAGAGGAGUAUUGCUUUUACCAUUGCUUUCGUCCCUGUAGACAACGAAAAACCCAGAAAACAAGCAGGGGGAAAAAGAGGAAGAGAAACUGGGGAGAAAAGGGGGAGACAGAGGAAUCACAUAACCGAGGGGCUAAAAGACGAAAAACAAACCCAGGAGACAGCAUUUUAUCAUCGUCUUCGUCCCUUCCGUCUCAAUAACCGGGGCGACGAGCAAAGUUUAAAGCAAAGGAAGAAGUUCAAAACAGAAAGACAGGGGAAGCAAAAGGAAAACGCAAGCAGGAGACACGGAGACCAACACUAACAUCCCCAUCGUCUUCAUCGCCUCCAGCAACGUCUGCAGAUCAGGGAAGUUUGUCUUCGUUCCCUUCUUUUCCAUUUUUCAUUGUAAAGUCACUGUAGCUUGGAUUUAAUUAACUCUUGCACGCACGCGUGGUGCGUGCCUUUGCCCAGCCGGGUCACUGGCUUGGGCCAGUGACCGGGCCGGGCUGGCUGGGUCUAGCCCAGCCCAAAAAAAUAAAAAAAAUAGGAAAUAAAAAAUAUAAAAAUAUAUAUAAAAAAAAAAUAUGCAUGCAUAUAUUUAAAUUUAAAUUUAUUUGGUUUAUUUAAAGAGCUAGAGUCAGCAACACCAUUCAUUUUUGUUUUGGGUUACGUAAUACUUAUCAACGCCAUAGUUGGAAGUAUCCGUAGUCGAAUAUUCACUGACGCCAGAGUCAGGAAUAUUAUAAGCAAAUCAUCAUAGCAUAAACUAAUAAACGUUUAGCAAUUUAAGACAAAAUCAGCAAUGUAGUCUGCCUCAGGCAGAACGUUUAAGGGGUGAUGAUAUCUUCCAUUUUACGUAACCAGUCUCGUACCAUAGAAUCUCUGUUGACCGGUUAGGGUUCCUAGUGACCAUAAUACUAGGUGGUGACUACUUAAACAAGAAAACUGAAUCAAACAACUCCAUCAUUCAGGUGACUAAAUUAUAAACAAAAAAAAAGAGAAAAAAAAGAGAAAAAAGAAAUGAAUAAACACCCUUACCCCCAUGACUCUUGAAUCAUGUGUUUUUUAAAUGUAUGAAUAAUGGUAAGUAGUGAACUUGUUGCUUAUGACCCAUGAAAUGCAUCUUUGCAAAGACCAAACCAUCACACUGGAUGAGGUCAAAGUUUAUUGAUCUUAACUGUUUGCGCUUGAAAUGAGGAAAGGCCAUCUUUGUUAUUCCUUUCACAUUCUGAAAUAAGUACAUCCAUUGCGAUCAGACAAAACCAGCAAUGCAGUCUGACUCAGGCAGAACGUUUAAGGGGUGAUAAUAUCUUCCCUUUUACGUAACCAGUCUCGUACCAUAGAAUCUCUGUUGAUCGGUUAGGGUUCCUAGUGACCAUAAUACUAGGUGGCGACUCCUUAAACAAGACAUUUUCCCCUAAAAGAACAAGAUGUCAGAAAUCUGUUCUUUCCUUGUAAAUGUUUUACAGCCGCCGCGAUGUCGGGUGCGACAAAGAUGAAUGCAACAUAUUGGGUAUGGAUUCGUCUUUUGGGGGUGACAUAACGAUCGUUAUUCUUUAGAUGUGUGGUCAGAUUCGAAUCUGAUAUUCAUUGCAAUGCCGAGAGGAGAUCUGUUUAGCCUUUUGUCAUCUGAGCUUUCAGCCACAUUCUUGGUGUCUUUCAUUAUGCAUCUAAUAUCUUUGAGUAGCGGUAUCUCAUCGACAUCCAGUCUAUGGUAGUCUCCCUCGGUCAUUGGCAAAGAUUUAGACUCGAGUCCAUAUUCAACAGUUGUUAUCUUAGGAAUAGCGGCCAUUAUGUCACCUGAAAGCCCUGUAAUAAGGAUGCUUACACGUUUAAGCUUAUCUUAGUAAAAUUACACAGGGAUCAACCUAAAUGAUAGGUUCUAGUCAUUAAAUGCAUCAGGGUAAUUUUGCUAUCUAGUCUCAAAGGUCUUUUCCAUGCUCAAUGAUCAUCCUCGAAAGGUUGAUAUGAGGUUUACAAGCAGCGUGAAGAUAGAGACCCUGAGUAAUAUUAAUUCGGCAUAUCGACCAUUGUCGAGCAAAUAAUCAUGCGAGAGUUGGAUAGUUUCGCGAGCCUUACCCAGGCUAAAGCCAUUGGGGUGUCAUUACUCCUCCAUUUAUCAUAAAGUUGAUACCACACGUAUUUUGAAAAUGAGAUGAGUGAUGUAUGAAGGCCUUAGAUCCAUGUCCAAUAUACAUGCAUGAUAAACAUGAAUAACUAUGCAUGCUAAAACAGUAAAAAGAGCAAAAAAUAAAACUCGAUAAACACAAACAACACAACAACAAAAACACGGUACGACAUAUAUUUUUAGCAAUAAAAAAAAAGGAGCAAAGCUUAGUCCUAAUAAGUCUCCAGUGGAGUCGUCAUUCUGUCACACACGGACAUCGCGACGACUAAUUAAAAAUUCUCUCUCGAUUGGAAAAGGAACAGAUAUUUGGCAUCUUGUUCUUUGAGGAAAACGGUCUUGUUCAAGGAGUCGCCACCUAGUAUUAUGGUUACUAGGAACCCUAACUAAUCAACAGAGAUUCUAUGGUACAAGAUUGGUUACGUGAAAGGGAAGAUACUAUCAUCCCUUAAGCGUCCUACCUGAGGCAAGCUGCAUUGAUGGUUGUCUUAAAUUGCUAAAAGUUUGUCUUCGUUCCAUUUUUAAGGUCAUCCUAUAAUAUUCCUGACUCUGACAUCAGUGAAUAUUGCGCAAUCCACAAAGUACAAUAUUCCUGACUCUGGUACCGGUGAAUAAAUCCGCAAAAUUCUGUAUUAAAAGAAAUGGAAACUAUUUUUUUUGUUUUCCUUUUUUUAUCAUUUUUUUUACUUAUAUAGCCCGGUCUCAAAACUUAUAAAACAAAACAAAAGGGGUUGGGUCACUAGUCUAAACUAGUGACCCGGCUGGCCAGUGUUGCAUGCAUGCAUGAACAAUUCACGCAUGUAAGCAACAGUAACAUGCUAAUUAAUUUUAGAAAAACAGGGAAAGAAGGAGGACUCACCUGGUGUUGCUGUGACCGGAGGCGAAGCUGAGGGAGACGGUCAGACACUGCUCACGGUUGAAGACCCGGUCUGUGCUAUUUGUUGUUGUUGCACUGCGAUGCUGGUGUUGCUCAAGUGCUGGGCCGAAAGGAAGGCUGUUGCUGGACAUGCGGGGCGCCGCAGCGGAUGCUGGUGGCUGCUGCUUUAGGAGAAGAGGAGAGGGCAGAAGGGUUCCCUCUGCUGUUGCUGCUGCUGCUGCUGGCUUGUGUUUGCUCCCGGUUGCUGGAGCUGUUGAUGGUGCUGUGAUGUUUGCUGGAUGUUGGUCACGGUGCAUGUAGAUGGUUGAGCUGCUGCUAAUCUUAACGCUCUGGAAGGAGAAGGUUGCUGCUGGAUCUGCCACUGCAGCUAGGGAAAGGUGUGGCUGAGGAGCACCCUCCGUCGCUGCUUCAAUGAAAAAGAAAGACUGGAGUUCUCUAAAGAAAAGGGACUCAAGUUCUCUGCCAACCGGAUGUUGCUGAUGGAAGCUGCUGAAACAAGUCUCUUGCUUGGCUGGUUUGAAACCUAUGGUUGGGUUGACAGAGGCUAUUGUUCUUCUCCUAUGCAGGUAGCGGCUGAGAGGAAGACAAUCCAGCUUGUGUGGGUGAUACCGGUUGACAGUCUGCUGUCAUUGCCGGACUGUGGGUAGAAAGAGGAGAUGAAGGCGUCUCCUACAACCGGAGGAAAGCUUGUGUGGUGGCUUCUGGAGGUUGAUGGGGAUGAAGGCGUGAAGCCGAUGGAGACAAAAACAUCCUACAAAUCAUCAUCUUACAAAUAAAAACUCAUAAUUACAACAUGCUUUAAGGCUUAAUCCAUGUAGCAUUGAUCUUUAAGAUCCAUUAUAAAGCCACGUUUUCUGCCCUGCUAGUAAACAUAAAUUCCAAUUCAAAAAAGGUGAAACUUUACUUCUCCAAAUACACAUUUAUAGAUCAAACAUAGUUGUACCUAAAGACUAGGGAGAAAAAUAGCGGGCUUGCUCUAUGUCUGUUCUUCAAGGCCGGGGAAGAAAAGGAGAAGAAAGAAAGGAAGGGGGGGGGCAGCUAGUAUCGGGUUCGCCGCCCCCUCCUCUUUUCUUUUGUUUCUCUUCUUCAGGGUUUUUUGUAAUGGCCUCCUCCUGGGGUUUUUUUUUUGUUUGUCCCCUCUAGGGUUUUCUGUGUUUUUUUCUAAAAACCCCCCCGUUUUUGCAUGCAUUGAGAUCUAUAUUUAUAGUGCGAGAGUCUCAUCGCGUGUGGAAAAUAAAGUUUCAAUCAAACUCAUUCUCUUCUUUGAAUUUUGAAUUUGAUUAAAAACCAAAUUCGAAAGCGGAUAGCUAUCAUUAUCUUGAAGAUAAGGAUAAAAUGAAAAAAGUACAUUAUAAUCCCUAGUUUUCGCGCAAGCUGGCAAAUCAUACUUUUCAUCCAAACAAAUCUCUGAUCUUUUAAUCUUACAUUUUAAACCUUGUAAAAUUAAAUUAAAAACCAAUGGGCCAAAAUUAGGUUACAACAAGGGAGAAGCAAUCGGUGGAGAGGAAAAAGUGUGGUGGAGAGGAUGGUGAUCAAGCCGGCGAUGACAGUAGUGGUGGCCGAAGGUGUUGGUGGUUGGGUUGCUGUGGUGCAGGAAGAAGUUUGCAACGGUGUCACUGUUCACUUUCAAGGGAGAUAACGAUCUCUGAGGGAGGAGCUGGUGUUCGUAGGGGUGUAUAGGCCGGGGUUGUUGGUAUUCUAGUCUGAGAAGGCAGUUGUGGAAGAGGUGGAUAGAGUCGUAGAAGGCUGACGGGGAGAGAAGAAUAAUGGAAAUAGGGGGAUGGCUAGGUUUUUUUUUUAAUUUUUGGACCCGAUUUUCUUCAUGCUCAGACCCUAAAAUCCACCCAUAUUUAUAGGGGUUGGAAAAGGGUAAUCUUGUCUUCACUGGGGAAAAAUUUCAGCCUUGAUCCUGGUGGGAAAAAUCUCAACUGUUGGUUCAAAGUAGACACCAAAUCUGACAGUUCAUGGCUGUCUGAGUUAGCCUCUUUAGGCUGCUGACACGUCCUCUAUGUUGCCAGUGAGCCGGUGAGGACCAUACCGAGGCGUGGAGGGAUGUCAAGUGAUUAGUUUUGUGCACAUUUUGUCAAAUUUGAUGAAGGUUGGAUGCAUUAAAUACUCCUGUAAAGUAGGUAACCAAAGCAGAUUUUCGAUGGAAAAACUUCAAAAAGAUAAACAGUAACAUUAAAACGGCGUCGUUUUGACUUUUUUCAAUUUGGUCCUUUGAUUUCUGUUUUAUCUUGUAAUGCCUGACGAUUUUGUAAGCAUUUAUAAUUAAUUCCUAUGAUUUGGUGCUUAAAAAUUUGGGCAAUUUUUUUUGUGUGUGUGUUGGUUUAACGGUCAACGGAUCCAUCCCAGAAACUGUCAAAUUAUCACUGUUUUACCAAAGUUUUGGCAGAGUUCCUUUUCUUAUUUUGACGUCUCAAGUGUUGACAUUAAUCAUCGAAUACACAUUAACCCUUCAUAAUCAUCUUUUCAUACAACACCCGUCGUAGCAAUUCCCGAUCCAAUUAUCCUAGAUCGUAAUUUCAUCGCACUAAUUAUUCUUUCUAUUGUAUCUCAUCAAUCAUCACACAUAAUUAAUUAGUCACAUUUGCAUGAUUAAUAUUUAUGGAUAAGAAGUACAGUAAAGAUUAACUACGGAAAGGUCUUUCUUGAUGAAUACAUACACAAAUUAAAUUAAGUACAUUGUCUUUAUAAAACAGGUAUAAUAUACAUGACAUGCAUUGUAAAUUCCAUUUAUUUUUACAAGUUUCUACAUGUAACGAAUUAUUGCUAUUACUACUAUCAAUUAUCUUAUAUUACAUAAUUUUAGUAAAAGUAAUGUCCUGGAAGAUUAUUAGGCAUCUUAGGUGCGAGAAGGUCCUGUUACAACAUUAAUUUAUAUGAGCAUACAAAACACAAGAAAUAAGAUCUAAAUUUUUAAAGCCAUGCAUAUAAUUAACAUAUAUCCAAAUCCUCAUAUUCUAUAGGAAAUCAUUAAUUUUCCAAAACAAAUUUCUAGUGAUCAUCGUAAAUCAUUUUAGACAUUCUUAAUUUUUUGUAAUUGGAUACUCAUUUAUAUCAGUUAAACUCUUUGCCUGGAGUUGACUACUUAAUUUAGACCCGGUCAUUUCAACAUGGGUAUUAUUAUUAGUCAAACUAAUCUCAUCAAUUAUUCCCUGUCAUCCCAACACGAAUGUAAAGCUACUCUUCACAAAUGUAAAGCUACUCUUAUGAAUCAUUCCUGGUCAUCCUAACACGAAUAUAAUUAGCCGAGGUUAAUCUUAUCAAUCAUUCCCAGUCAUCCGAAUUUAGAUACCAUUAGCCGAAACUAAUUUUAUCAAUCAUUAUCGAUCAUCCUAACACAAAUAUAAUUAGUUGAGGCUAAUCUUAUCAAUCAUUCCCGGUCAUCCUAAUUUGAAUGUCAUUAGCCAAAGCUAAUCUUAUCAAUCAUUCCCGGUCACCAUUAGUCGAAGCUAAUCUUAUCAAUCAUUCUCGGUCAUCCCAACUCGAAUGUCAUUAGCCGAAGCUAAUAUUAUUAAUCAUUCCUAUGGAAAUAGUUUUUGUUUUUAUUUUUAUUUUUAUUUUUUUCCCUGCCCAUAGGCAAUAUUUUCACGAUAAUAUUUUUCCUGCUCGUAGGCAACGUUCUCGAAAUAAUAAUAUUCUCCUUUUUUUUCUACGAUCCUAUGUUUAUGCGGGAGUUUACAUAUCUCAUCUACACCCCUGAUUGGCUUCAAACUUUAAAUUUUGUGCAAUUUUGCCCCCGGACAAACUUCAACAGAAGCCCCGUAUUUGCACGCUUUUUUUUAAUGUGAUCCUUGAUCUCGGAUUUAUGCGAUUUGGCCCCUAAUUGACCAUCAAACUUUAAAUUUCUUCAAUUUCACCCCAAGGUUUUGUCAAUUAAGCCCCUAUAGUUCGACGUCUUUUCGGAUUGGUCAUUGGCUAUGAAAUUCUUCAAUUUGACCCCUAAUUGACCCCAAAACUUUGAUUUUCUUCCGAUUUUGCCCCUGAUUUGAAUCAAUUAACUUGGUAAAAAUUAAAUUUGGUCUCUUAAAAUUUCAAUCUUCUCAAUUAAGCCCAAAUUGGGCUCCCAAACUUAAUUUUUCACCAAUUAAACCCCAAAUAAAAUUAAUUUUACCCAUUUAAAGUAUAAUUAAGUCCUUGCACUUAAUUAAAUCUUUCAAUUGGACCCAAAUUAAUUCUUAAACAUAAUUAAAAUUCAAUUUGGUCCAUGAUUAAAUCAAAUUGGCCUAUUAAAAAUUUAAUUAUGUCAUUGGACUUAAUUUUUAUGCAAAUUCAUCCAAUAAUCAUUUAAUUUGACCUUGAAUUUGCAUUGUUUCUCCAUUUUUGGGCAUAAUAGGGUACAAUUAGGCUUUAAAUUUCCUCUAAAAUUGCAGUUGUAUUCCCUGACCUGCUUUCUCCACAUUGAUAGUCUUUAUUUAUUUAUUUAUUUAAAAAAAAUGAAUUUUAGGGAAUAACCUAGAAUUGGGUUAUGAUAAUUGUAUAGCCAAACUCAUUGUCAUUGUGGAUUGGAACAGUGAAAUGUUGAUAUUACCUUUAUUGAUAAAGCACAAAUUGCCUUGGAAGAAGGAUAUAGUAGUCUUUUUAUUUUUAUUUUCAUAGUAAAAUGACCAAUAUGCCCUUUUGAAUAAAAAUAAUAAUGGACUAGUGGAGAGGGGCACUUCCAAGUAUUUCUUUUCACGUGGACAGUGAAAAGACUGAAGUGUCCUUGCAUUGAAAUUGUCAUUGCCCUUGGUAAGGGGCUUAUUUUGUCUUUUCUUCUUGGUUUCUUUAUAAUUACCAAGUCUGAUCAAAGGCACUUUAAUAUUUAGGCAUAUAUCAUAUUAAUUUAUUUAAAAAAGACGGUUGUAAAUACAAUUCAUACGGUCACAUGUUAGUGUUUCUGCUCUACUUGGACGACAUAUGAGGCGUCAUUCAGCAGCCAAAUUCUAGCUUCCAUGAUUGUGUUUUAAUCCUAGCCACGUUGCCUCCAUUCCUAGACGGUACGUGUGGUAAAAAAAUAUCAAAUCUUGCAUAGAUGGCCAUUUCUUUUUUUUCUUCCUUCUUUUCCCUCUCCUCCUCAGUUUCAAAGACUUCCCCUGCACAUCUUCAAAACAACCCUUCAAUUUAUUUUUAUUUUACAUUUGGUCAAUCUUCUUUUUAUUGUUAUUAUUCUUUUAUUUUAGAUUAUCCAUGGAAUUAGAAUUUUCUUUCAAUUUAAUUCUCCUUUGGUUUUUUCACCAUUUAAAUUUGGUCCCUAUUAUUUUGAUUUUUUAAUUUUUAAUUAUUCUCUUAACUAAAUUAUCUUUUCAAUUGUAUCCCUCAAUAUUUUAUAUCAUUCUCUUAAUUUGAUAUUUUUUUUUAAUUGCUUCCCUAAAUAUUUUAAUUCAUUCUCUUAAUUGAAUUGUUUUUCCAGUUGUAUCUCUCAAUAUUUUAGUUCAUUUUGUUUUAUAUUAGAUUUGAUUCUUAUUCUUUUUAUUGCUAUUUUUUAAAAAAAAUUUUUAUUUGAACUUUCUUUUGACUUCAUACCUCAUCAUUUUAUUGAUCGGGACUUUAUUAACCUCUCGUUUUAUGAGUUAAAGAGAUUUAACCAGGUUGCCUUGAAUUUUUUUUCCAUGUCCUUUUUUACAAUGGAUUUUUACCGGUACCGUCUUUCUAUAGGGGUAUUCCUGUCUCAUGUAGGAGGUCACGGGUUUCGCAUGUUAGCUCAACUUUAUACGGGGCAAUUAUUUUUAAUUUAUUUGUUGUUGUUACCUGAUUUUUUAUCAUAUUAUAAAAUUAAUUAUGGUUUAACCUUAUUAUCUUUUUUUUCUUACUUUUUUAAAAACACAACUGCCUCCUUAACUCUUUUUUUUCAAGUUGAAAAAUAGGUUUGGUAAGGCUCGUGGUGUCGCGCAAACCACCAAUCUAGUGUAUUCUAAAGGCAUAGGAAAUUCAUACCUUAUAUAUAUUCAAUUGAAAAAUCACAUUCUCUCUCGAUUUAUGAAUAUUAAUAAAUGAAAAAUAAAAAAAAAGCUUUCAUGUUAUAUAAAGAAGAAGAAAAAAACCGACAUUUAAUUACAUAAAAGUAAAAGAAAUGCAUGUGUUUGUUAGAUGGUUCAUGGAAAACGUUCCAUGAUGAGUGUAUUUGUUUUUGCUAUUAAAAAAUAUUUUUAAAAAUUUCUGAAUUUAUUUUUUUUAAAGAAUUGGAUUGAAUUGAUAUAUUAAUUUUAAAAUUAAAUAAAAAAAUAUUAUUUUAAUAUAUUUUUAAAUAAAAAAUAAUUUAUCAAAUAUCAAUAAAAUGCUCCUAGGCUGCAAACAAUGAGGAAACAAUUGAAUUGACAAUGAUUAUUGUCCAACCAGUUUGCCACCUGUAAGCAAUUAGUGGACAACAUCAAAAUCAGAGUCAUGUGAAGACCUAAGUCUUCACAAAAAAGCCAGUCAAUGGAAAAAAGCUAGCCUUUCACUCCAUAUCCAGAGUUUGAAGCCUUCUUAGCAGUGACGUUUAUUUAGUGCUCUUCAAACUCUGUAACAGAAGGGUACAGACAGAAAGAGAUGAGGCCUAACGUAAGUAUUGAAUUCCUCUGGUGGCUCUCUUUAACUAUCCUGUUGGUUUCUGUGAUCACAUCUACUUCUACAGCUGCCUUUCUUGAAAGCAACUUGAGUCCCAUUUUCAAUGCCACAAUCGGUGAAGGUAAUGAAGAGGAGUUCUCUAUGGAAUCUGAAGUGCAUCAGAGACUACUGGCCUCUCAGGGUAACUAUAUUAAAUAUAGGAGUCUAGAACGACAACCAGUUUGCAAUGCACAAAUAUAUGGCAACUGUGCAAAACCGGCCAAUGGUAACUCUAGGCCUUGCACUUACUACAAUCGGUGCAAACAUAGUAGUUGAUCGGGGAAGAGGGGACAAAGGGGUCAGUUCUUUAUCUGUCUGUGUGGAUUUCGAUUUGAAUAGCCACCCAUAAAGCGCAAGGUGAACCAGUCCGUCUAUGUGAGCUCCACCAAGAUGGGUGGAUCAGUUUGCUCUCCGUGUAGGGUGACUGUCUGAACCCUUCUUCUUUCUUUUUACACAUGAUUCCGAUGAGUAUAACAAUAAAAUUUGUAUGUACUUUAUGAUGAUUUAUAAUUGAAGAAAAUAGCAAGCAAUUGCUAUGUUGAUACGAUAUCUAGUGAUUGUCUUUCUCGUGCACUAAUUAAUGGCGAAGCUUCCUCAUUAAUCUAUUGCAAGCUAUGAAGUUGAAAAAAAGAUCUUGGAAUGUUCACAGGUUUGCUUAAGGUGUCCUGUUUGUACAAGAUAAGAACAUCUGCUAGACCUGUUCAUUGUAGAGGACUUGGAUUUUCCUUAGGAUUGAAGUGAUUUCAGCAUGAUGUUUUCAACAAUGAAACUCAAUCUCGUUUCAUUUAUUAUUCCAAUUAUUUUUCAUCCACCGAGAACUCCAUUCAGUUUCCCCUCAUGUAUGGAAAUCAAGCUUAAAAGGAUGAGAGAGAACAAAUUGCCAUCUCCAGGGAAGAGAGGACAGCUUGCCUCUUCUUUACUAGUGCUAUUGAUUUCAUUCGGCACCAAGUAUGUCGAGAGGUAAAUCCAUUAGUCUUAGAUUAAUGGGAAGAAAGAUUUCUCAU
rnacentral:lncRNA from 1 species